rnacentral:lncRNA from 1 species
UUCUUCAACGUAACGAGAACCGAACCAAGGCUCAGUUUGGAACUCUGAAAGAAGGAAGUUUCAAAAGAAAGAUGAAUAUUAAUAUGCAAUCCAAAAAUUACAUUCUCAGCAAAUCUCGAAAGUACCUUCUGACUUGACUGACUUCGAAACAACAUCAAUCCUCAUGUUUUUUGGUGUGAAGAAACCCAUGAGAUCUUCUAUCAUUUUUGGAUCCCAUGUCUGGUAUACAUAAUCACCAUAAAUAACGUGCUCUACUGGAUAAGCAAGCAUAUUCCCUGUACAAUAACACUUUCUAUGGUCACUAUACAUCAAUGCAUAAUAAAAACUGAAAAAUAUUUAGGCUUUACAUGCCAAUAUAACCUCUAUUAACGCCUUAAAAGAACUAGACGAGUGACAAUACAAGUACAAACCUGAGAGCUCAGCAGCAUAAUCAUCUGCAGCCUGCUCCUCAGCAUAUCUGAAGUCCAUGUUCCCAAUAUCUUGGAGUUCCUUGAAUAUCCAUUCUUGUGGCGACGCAUCACGCAAUAACUUGAUAUAUUGAUAGAUGUAGCCAAUGAUGUCAUAAAUCUGCAAAUAUAAGUUGCCAUAAGGUCCAGUAAAAAUGAGUAACAUAGAAAAAGUAAAAAAAGGAGAUGAUAUGAAGCUAUAUACAAUUGAAAACGAUUGAAUCACCCCUGCGUUAAGCUUAGUUAAAAUUUGUUAAUUCACCUUCUCUAAACCAGAAUCAGUGAGAUGUAUGGACAUUCCAAAAACAUAGGCCAGAGACGAGCGGUUUAUUCCAUCAUCCCCAACACCAGCAGACAGAGAGGUUAUCCAGCCCUUUCCUUUAAGGAAUGAAUGAAGACUUCCUCUACCCUCUGAAAAAGAUAACGGUACAAACAACGUUCUUCAAUAUGCAGUUUACAUGAGUGCCUGCACAAGCACGCUUCAAGAAAACUAUAUAUAAACCAUAAAAAAUGGAUGUGAUUUCGCACCGUGUCCUAAUAGGUGUGCUAGAUAGUCCUCCGGCUUCUUCACAUAGGCAUGGCGAAGAGGAGGGAGAGUCCAUGUCAAAUCAAGAGUAUGAACAUCUCUGACCGCUUCUAGGCGAUAUAAUUUACCGCCUUCCCAAAUAGGACCUUUUGCCUCCAGAGUUGGCCUAAUUUUGGAUCCGUUUUUGACAUCGCCAAAUAGUUCUACAACCCAACUUUCAAGCAAAUCGAGAGGUUCUGCAAGAUUUAAUAGGUAAACCAUAAAAUUACAAUAAACUCAGACAGCAGAUAAAAGCCAAUUUGAAUGCAAAAACGUUUUCCAAGAAUUAGAGCGAAACACAUCAUAAACCCAGAGUAUUUUACCUCCUCCAAUGACAACGAGUUUCAUCAAUCCACCGUGGUAAUAUUCCUUGUACAAUUUUACGAUGCAUUCCCGUAGAUCAACACCAUUUUCCAUUGCACCACUCAAGCUCUUCUUGUUACCUUACAGCGCACACGAAAAACAGAUUAACUUUAACUUGUUUCAUGAACAACUGAAGUGUGGCAACAAAGGUACACCGAGAUGUCAUGUCCUUACCCCAUGCGAAUCUAUUUAAAGGAUGACCCUUUGUAGACGUGUGGCACUGAAGUUGUUGCAGACGGCAUGCAUCAUUUUGGAUGGCCUGGUUAAAUUCUACAAAUUUGGAUCUUGUUAGCAAGACACAUUUAACUAUAUAAGAGGUUAGUUUAUCUGAAUGUUGAUAGAAGAUGAAUCUUUCGAUAAUUUCUAACAAGAGACUAAGGGCCUGAUUAACAGGCAUACCUGAAUCAACAGCAAGGAGUUCUCGUUCCAUAGCUUCAGUCUUCAUCAGCGGUGCAACAAAAAACUGAGAGAACCUAAUAACAAGAGAACAAACCAAGGUCAAUGAUAACAAACUCUAGUCAUGCAUACCGACAAACGUAUAUCGUCCACCUUGGUAAAUUUACAGCAGAUGAUAGUUAAAUAGAUAAGUGAAGUGUCAGCGGAACCAAAUGUUGUACCUUUUUAAGGCACCCUGAAGGAAUUCUCUCUUGACUUCAAAGUGAUAGCAAGUAUGCUCCAUUUCGGUGUAUGCGUUAGAGGAUCCUCCAUGCUUAGACAAGUAACUAUCGUACUACAAGCAAAAAAAAGUCAAACCCAGAAGAACUCAAAGGAUACAUCAUUCUAACAAAACAAAGUCUGUACAACGGUCAAAGUUGAAAAGACGUAAUCCAUUAUCCAAGUUCUGAGUAAACAUCUCAGUUAUAUCUAAUCAUGCUAAUAUGGUUAGUUCCUUAAACCUUAAUUCAACGAUAGAACCAUCAGAAGUUAUCAGAAUACUUCAUUUCAUUCAUAUGAAUCUAUAAAUAGUGAAAAAAAAAGAACAUAAUGCAUUGCUUACUUCAUUCUCAUCGGGGAACUCAGUGCUACCCAUAAAAAGCAUGUGUUCUGAACAAAACAUUAACAUGAGAGUGAAAUCCACAGCAAUAAACAAAGAAAGUGAAUUCAAAACUCAUAGAAAGAUGAAAAUACCAAGAAAGUGAACCAGGCCUUGCGCCUCGGGAGGAUCCAAGAAGCUGCCCAUUGCAACACACAUAGCUGCAGCUGCCUAAACUCAAAAAACCAUACGAGUUUAAAAUAAAUAUCUGACGAAGAGUAAGAAGGCAGGUGAUCUAUCUUAACCUUUUUGGUCUGAUGAUCCUCUUUGCCUUUCACUUCAUCCUCAUCCUCAUCCUCAUCGCCUUCCAUUUCUUCAUCUUCAUAGCUCCCGUCACUUUCUUCUUCUUCUUCUUCUCCGUCCUCAUCCAUUUGAUCACCGUCGGUGUUCUGUCCAUCCGCCGCAGAGCCGUCGAGAUAAAUAUCUGGAUCGUGGAUAAGUAGAGCAGACAAUCCGUUCUCCAAUUCAAUCACUCUGUAUACCCUCCGAUCGUUGGGUGACUUCACCACUACACUGUCCAAGCUCGAAACGGCUUUAGUUACAGACAUUGUCCUCGCUCUGAGAAGAUAGCGACUCGCGAAGAAGGUGUGCUGCUGCUGCCGCAAGAGUAUCUCCUUCUUAGGUCUUUUGAAUCCGAUUCCGCCGCUAUUACCUUCUUCUGAAUUUUCAUUUAUUUUUUAUUAAAAAAAAAACAAAUUAGAAUUAACUGAAAACGCAAUAUCAAAAAUGUUAAGUUAAACAUCGUGCCGUUAUCUUCGUAGAGAUACGACAUGUUCGCCGUUUCAUACUUCCACGUUUCGUCUUCUCUCCGUCGACGUCGCCUCUGAAAUCGAACCUCCGGGAACGAAAGAGAAUCGAAAAUUUGAAUAAUGAAAGUGGUUACAAACCUAAUUGACCUUUACUGUACCAUCCAAAUCGAGGCAAUGAAUCGACUAGCGAUAGAGUGCGGAUAUCUCUGAAUACCCCUAACAUUGUGUGGUUGAGUUAGCAACGAUGGCACUGUCGCAGUGGAAGGAAGCUAUUCUCGAAGGAACUUUCAUCGAGAUUGAGAAGAAUCUCGAGCAGCAGUUGGAUAAUCUAUGUAGAGCGAAAAGAAGCAAUCAGAUCGAUGCGAUAAGGUUUAGUUGUUUGGUUGCUCGUGACCACUUGUAUUAUAGCUCUCGACGAAUAUGGACGGCUCACAAUGACGCAAAGGCUUGUCAGUUGUGAGACUGACGGAUGAGAAUACGAGAGACAAAGCUUUGGCUUCUUUGAGGAACUUUGUUACAAAGAGUUGCAUCCUCAAGAACAAGAACAUCGACGUUGCUAAUCCUUCUGCAACAAACAAGCCUCCUAGCUUGAUGGGGCGAAGAGCCACAGCAUAUAUAUACUUGCGAGGUAUAAAAUAUUUAAAAGUUCAUUGUUUAAUCAGAUCAUCUAUGAUAUUGUCGUAGGUCUUACUGUGUUUGAAUAGCUAGUUUGAUGGAACACCGAAGUAACACGUAUUCACUAAGUUCAUAAAGCAAUAUUCUAGUGCGCAGCUUCUGCUCUUUCUUCAUUUCUCUUAGAGUUGAUACUAACUUCAUACUGUCACGUUUCUAAUAGUAGACACAACCUCCAUGAGUAGGUGGGCUACACAUAUAAAUAUUUUAACAAAUAGUCUUUUCUCAUUCAAACUAUCUAUAUUAUAAAAAAAUAGGACCGUAAAGAAUUUACAAAACUUUUGAAUCUGAAUCUACAUCUUCUUGUCACCUAAUAAAGUAAAGAACAAAAAGUCAAGUCUCUUUGUCUUUUCAUUCCCUUAUAAUUGAGCAAAGCCAGAAACAGAUUAGUCAGUUCCUCAGAAACUGUCCAAUGCCUCAGCUGGAUCGCUCUAGGGUCUCUUCGGCUAAGCUACUUUCGGUGGUCGUCGACGGCGACUAUUAUGGCCGAUCAUCUGCUGCGGUUCCCUUCAAAUGGGAAUCUCAGCCCGGAACUCCCAUAAGACUUUUCAAACGAUCUUCAGGUUCUGAUUCCGAUUUCAAUUCUCCUGUUUCAGGUCCACUCACACCUCCUCCUUCUUACUUCAGCGCUUCUCCUUCCUCUACAAAGCCUAAAAGAGCCAACGUUCGUUCUGCUUCCUUGGUCAACAAGAAUCGUAGUGUUCCGUCGUCUCCGGUUGCUUCAUCUUCAUCAUCCUCGUCUUCAACAUCUUCUGUGCCUUCCUCUCCAAUGAGGACGUCGGAUUCGUACGGAAGGAACAGCAGAAGACCAAUGUGGUACGGAUCUAGACAUUAUAAUGCUAAGUCUUCAGGAUGCUACGGUUCCAUCAUCAAGUUGUUUCUAAGAGAUGUCAAGUAAUUAUGUUUUUAAAUCUCUCAAAAAAUAUGUUGGGUUUCUACUCUUUUUUUGUAAUCUUGGGAAAUAAUUUUCUGAAACUAAUUGUCCUCAGAUUCAUUUCAUCUCAAUGAAUCUACUGGUUGGGUCAUAAGUCAUAAUCAUAUGCUUUUCAUUAAACUCUGAUUCUUCGAUUUGUCUAAAUUACUUACAAACAUAAAGAUUACACUGCAGUCUAUAUGUCAAUAUGUGUAUAGAAUCUGUGCUCAGGGUAACUUCUUGUCAUUUCAAAUUCACAACUUACUCUUCCAUUUAAAUUUUUUGAAAUCUGUGAGAAACAAAAUUUUCCUCACUUAGAUAUUUACAGCAAACCAUAAAAAUAAAUUGACCCUUAAGCAAAGUAAAUUAAAUCAACAUAACAUUACAUGCUAGUAUAUAUUAAGAUCAGAUCUAUAAAUGCUCAGUAGUAUUAUUUCACUUUUGUACAGUCUAUACUCAUGCGAGACCAUAACAAAUAAACAAUACAUUUCACUUACGGUCAAAUCUUUUAUUUUAUUUUUUUCAUUGAGUGUAUUGAUUGGGGUAUCAUUCUUUCGUUUGGCGUUCAUUGACCAUCACGUGACACCACAUGCGCAUAAAACUCUGCUACGGAGCUCACUCACGUUGGCUGAUUCCAAGCUCCGUUUUUCAUUCCACACCACACGUUGGCAAAGCCUGGUUUGAGGGAAUCAUGCAUGGUUCUCUUCUCGUCCGUAGAUUUUCAAAUUAUUCCAAUCAGAUCAAGUUUGGCUAAUUUUCACAGGCUUUGCUAAAUUUUUAACAUUACGCAAAUAUCAUUUAGCUAACUCUCUCGACCAUAACAUUCAAAACAAAAGCCAAUAUUAUCCAAAAGACUUAGAAAACGAAGUUGCCUUCUUCUGCAGCAGAAGAGAAUGCACCAUCUUCCAUCUCACGGAGGGCAGUCGCAGUUGAAUCAUCUAUUCCCAGCAGAUACUGUAGUCUCGACACCUUUUCUGGCGCCGGCUUGGGAUCACUCUUUGAAUAGAUACUAUAUAGAUCGGAUAACUCCUCCGAGACCUCCCACGACAGCGGCUCAGCUGGCACGGCUUUGUCGCAUGCCAGCAAAUCAUUCAGCGACGAGACCUAAAACAAUUAAAAGAAAGCAUGCACUAAUCAGACACACAAUCUGACUUGUGUAAGAGAGGGAAAGAGGAUUUGCAUACCACUCCUUUAGCGUUUCUCUGCCUGAGCAAUGCCACGGCUUGGAUCAGGGAGUUAGAUAGUCUACUCCGAGCAAGGUCAUGGACAACGCCUUUGGCCUUUUCCAAGUCAAUACUGAGAUCAGAUGGGAUUGUCUCGUAGACUUCAGUUUCAUCGAACUCACCUGUUCCUGAUGAGAAUAUGUCAUUCACCGUCUUCUUGAACAGUUUCUCUCUCAGACUAACAGCGAUCAUGCUGUCCAGACUCACGUUUGCCUCCUUGAGCUCCCUUAUCUGCUUUAUGUUAAGUCUUCCUUGGUUAACAGCGGUUUCUAUCGCGUUCGCCAUUUUUGUGGUUGUUAUGUUCUUUAUAACCUUCUCCGCUUGUGGCUGAGGCAACCCAACUUCUUUCUGCAACUCGUCUAACUGCUCUACUCUUGCCUUUGUCAACUGCCCAUCAGCUAGAAUCACUUCAGCUUGUUGCCUGAAAGCCUGCUCGGCUAAACCUACGUGAAUGUUGACUAUCUCUUUAGAAGUCAAUCCAAGGAUCCCACCGAGCUGGUUCAGAAGCAAGUACUCUGAGUCGUCUCUCUUUGUUGUGAUCUGGGCGCCGAACGGGAUUCUUGUUACCUCUCCGGUUAGACAGUAGAGCAAGUAUGUUUUGUAGAGAUCGAUCCUGUCCCUGUCGGGAAGGUCGUCUUUGAGUGUUAUCUCAGUCUGGCCAGGCUUUCCCAUCUUCUCAGCGAGCUCUUUGUCAGGUCUUGUCUUUUUGAGCGACUCAAGGGAUCCCCAUUCCUCAUCUUCACAAACUUCUUCUUUCUCUUGAACAGGCUCCUCCUCAGGUUUUCUGUCAGAAGAUUCUCCCUUAAUGUCAGCCAACAUUUCAGUCACAACUAACGUGUUGAAAGCAAUCAUCUUCUUGAGCUCCUUUGCUGACUCGGUGCGGUUCUCUGCCGAUCUUGCUCGUCUGAUAUAGUUUGUGAAAACCCUACGGACCUGCAUCAAUGAAGGUAUCUCUUUUCUUAUCAGAUAAACUAAAUCUUAAUACCAAACAUGGGAAAAGUAAAGAGUGUGAUGAUACUCACAGCCUUGCUAGCAAUAGACAUGGCAGUCUCUCUGGAUAACCGAAGACCAUGAGCAGCCUUUCUUACUGAUUUGCGAGUUUCAGCAUCAUAACCAUCCACUCCAGAAGAAAUUGCUUCUCUGACAACCUGCAAAAGAUGUAACGAAUAAGACCACGGAGACAAAAUGGGACAUAGAAGCGGACUAAUAAGCUGGAUUACCUUUUCAAAUAUGCUUCCACAGAUUUCUGCAUGAGCAGCCUCAAUAGUUUGCUGAGGAAUACAGAGCAUGACUCUUAACCUUAAUAAAGCAGCAACAUUGUCAUCGCUCAGCUCUCCAUCCGUAACACAUUGUUGAAGCUUCUGCCUAUAGAUAUCUGAAGAAAAGCAGGUGAUUGUCGGAUGACUGGGAAGAAAAGACUUCAGCAAACAUCAAAACUGUUAGAUAACAGCAUGUAAUGUAACCACACAAAAAAUGCCAAACUUGUUGGAAGUCUGUUGAGAACCAAAUCGAUAACAAUUAAAGCUAGUUUGCAAGGCAAGGGACAAGAAGGUUCACAGCCAUCAACCAAAUUGAUAUGAUUCUAGUUUUUCAUGGUCCCAUCCAUCGUAUCUUUGGGCGAUACAGUGGCAAUUCAAACUGUAUAACGUAACAGCAUAAGGUCAGGUGGUCCGAAUAUACCUUCAUGGAUUGCGCUUGCCUUCUGUGCAUCAAAGUGCAGCUCUUCGCAUAGCUUUUGAAGAUAUUUUGCUUUACUGUCUCGUGCUUCAAGGUCACCACUAGAAAAAGCGUUAGCAAGUCUUUUACGGUAUGCCUUGGACGUGACAUCAACACUAAUAGCUUCAGCCUCCCGAGUUCCCAAUCCGAGAAUGUUUCUCAAUUGGCUCAUUGCCACAAGCUACCAUUCAGCAGAAAGAUGAUCAAAAAUGAUAUCGCAUGGGACGGUGAUAGAAAAAAAAAACAGAAUCGGAAACACGCUCUAUAACAUACUUUAUACAAAACUGGUUUCAGCUUACCUUGUUUUCUUCAAUGCGCCCACUAGAUAAAGCAUCUGUAACAUAUGCUCUAUAAAGUAGCUUUAAAUCAUCCAUCCUCCUCUCAAAAUCAGACUCACCACCUAUGCCACAGAGAUCCAACGUUAAUAGCCUAUAAUUACUAAUCAGAAAAUAGACCGUCAAAAGCAUUUACCUAUUAAAUAUAUAGGGCCAACGCCCCGUGCAAAAUUAGCUGCCUCUGAAUGAUUUUUCAAGGAAACCAGUAGGUUGUUAAACUCCAGUACUUUUUCAAGCUCUUCCACAACAAGUGACAUACUCUUCCUGGAUUAAAUCAUUUUAUGCAUGAUUCAGUAAUUAAUAAAAGAAGCAGUUUUUCAGCUCGACCACAUUCAACAUUAUUUUUCAGUAAAGUCAUUUUAUGCGUGACUCGGUAAUUAAUAAAUACAAUGCCUUACACUGCUCGUGUGCGGGAUUUUAGAACGCCAAGUGCAGAAGUAAUAUUCUCUAUGGCUACUGCUCUUGUAUGUUCUCUGAACAGCUCUUCAGCAAGCUAAAAGGGACAAGACACUGUCAGAAGAACUAUAACUAGUGGCAGUAGGAAAUCAAUUCUACAAUUAAAUGGAGUACCUCAUCAGAAAGCUUGAAUGAUAGUUGUGCUUUUCUAAGGUCCACAAGGUUUUCUACGUUAAUAUCUGCAAGAACAUGUUGACAAACAUAACUAUUUAAGUUUCCAUGCUUAAAGCUGAAGAUAAGGCUAAGAAGUAUCUGUUAUCAAUGUCAAAUGAGAUUAUCCAUUGCAUAAUUAUAGUUCCAGGCGGAGCAUUCAGCAUCUUGCUGAGAAAUGAACAGUAUAAAGCUCUAUUUACAAGAAGUGACAAAGUAGUUGACAUAACCAGCUCAAGCAACUUCCUUCAUUCUACAAUUUGACAUUAUUUUAAAUUUUAAAAUGAAAAACAUGAAUAACAUUACCUCUACCAACUAAUUUCAACCUUUCGGCAUACAGCUGCUUUGCAUUUUCACGAAUAGCAAUCUCAACCUAUACAAAAGGUUAACACAUUAGCAGAGAACUUCAGAUUACCAAGUUGCCAAUUUGCAUCUUACAAAAAAAAGAUACAAAUAUUGCACAAAACCAUAGGUUUGACAAAAAUGGAAUGCCGCCCUGAGCAUCUGUGACUUUCAGCACUCGCUUCCAAGGUAAAAGGAAGGAGGCAGCGUCUCCAAACACAAGAGCUGAAACAUAUACAAGCCUCAUAAAUGCCUGCACUAGGACCAUACACAGCUUGUGAUCACACUUGUGUUCGCUUUCCGAACCAAGAAGGACUAAUAUGGACUAGCGACUCACCCGACGCUGUUCUGCAUCCCCUUCACGCUCCCCAGUCUCAAGCCUUUGCCUAAAAAUCCUCCUGCCAAUCUAAACAAUACCAAGGAACUGGCGAUUACCCUCCUCAACCAACUGCAAAAGGCUAAUUCAAACAAAGAAGAAUCAACUAGAAAACACCUCCAUGUGCAUGGAGGCUGCAUCAGGGUCGUCUAUUCCCAGAGCACUUUUGAAUUUAACAAUCUUCUCCACUUCAUCUCCUUUAAGAGACUGUCCUUCAGCUGGAAGCACGGAAGUCACAUACCUAAUCAAGAUGCAAAGAUUAACUAAAUAACUCUCCACACUAAGCAAAAGAGGAAGACACUUCUCCCGAGUUCGACUCACCGGCAAUAUAUAUCACAUAUCUCAGCCUGGAACGCCUCAUCUUCUUUAUUAACACCAUACCUGCCACAUACACAAACGAUCAAAAAGUAAACUUUGUGUGUAAAUCCCAAAAAGUUUGAUCCUUUCGUACCUAGAAGCGAUCUUUUCUAUAUCCUCUUUCGUCACAGAGGCGGGAUCUUCGAAUUCCGCGACAUAAUUGUGCAAACCGAUGGCAGCCACCUCCGGUACGGCCGAGUUCAUCGCAUAGACGAAAGCUCCACCAGCUGCUCCAGCUACAGCUGCUCCACCUAGGGCGAUAUUCCUUGAGCCCAUUAACCGAAGCCCAAGCCCAUAGCCACUAGCUAAAGAGGCCGCUAGAACGACAGCAGAAGUCGCUAGCCGCACCGGCGGCGUCAUUUUCUCUACAAUCGGUUGCAGUCCCGUGAGCUCCUUCUUGUUAGCCACCACCAGCGGUGGUUGUUCGGACGGAGUAGCUGCGCAGCGAGGGAACGAAGCUCGGUAGCGACGGCGAGACGGAGACUGAGAGUUGGAUAAACGGAGAGGUAACGGAGUGAGGAAGUGGCAGAGUAGAGCGGAGCGAGGGGAAGGUGAGAUUGGAGCGUUGAUUGCUGUGGGUAUCAUGGUUAAGAUCCUGAGCAGUUGUAGAGAGAAGAAGCUCUCGUAGGGUUUAACGAACAGAGAGGAAGAAAGAGGAUAGAAACGAGAUAGGACUCCUCAAAACGCCAUCGAUAUGCCUUUUCGGACGCCGAAACGUUUUUAAUUUUAUAUUGCAAACUGCGUGCUGUUUUACUCCACGAUAAACGGUGAGAAGUUAAAUGAAUAGGAAAUUAGACGGCGCGCGUUAAAGAUUUCUGUUUAUUUUGGGCUCGAAACUAAAUAACUUUUCCAAGACUCUAAACCCGUAUUUUUCUGAAACAAUUACACCCAAGGUGGCUUUCUGAUUUUUUAUAACACUAUAAUACACUUUAUAGCUACUAGAGCAGUUUUUCACUCUUUUCCGCGAAAAACACACAUGUGGAACAUACAAAAUUCCAAAACUAACUUUUUUUUAAAUAGUAUACACCGUAAUUCUAUUAUAAAAAAAUCUAAAACAUUUCGUCAAUUGAGAAAAUAUAAGAGGUCCCACUCUCUCUUCUUCAUCCAGAUUUGCUUUUUCAGAUUUCUUUUCCAACAUAAUUCACUUCAAAUUAUUAUCUAUGUUGUUCGAUCUAUUUUUUGAGAUGUACCAAGAUGCUGGUCUGAUGAUGGUUAAAUGGUGACAUAGACGACGGUGGGAGAACAUAGAUGACGGCGGAGACGUUGGCGGUAGGUGACAUCGACGACGACGACGUAGAUGACAUAGCAAAAGUGUUGGUUUUUUAAUUGUUUGAAGGUUUGUUAAUGAUGGUCAUAGACUCGUGGGACAAAGGUUUGUUCAGUUCUCUAAUUACAUCCACCCAUUUCCUCAUCUGUACUCCCAUCGUCAACACCAUAACCGUCACAGCACCGCCGUAACCGACGUGAGCUCUCCUUCACCUCUUUCUCGAUACUUAUCCAUGAAUCAUCAUCUCCAUAUGGUGGAGAAUUUGGACACUCCGACACCAUGAAUAAAAGCUUUAACGCUUUUGUAAGUUUGUUUUUUCUUAUGUUGAGGGAUUGAGUGAAAGCCUGCUUGAAAAUAUCAUUUUAGUCAUGACAUUGGUGUACACAUGGAUAUCGGAUAUCGUAAGCUGUGGAUAUUACAAAUCGGCGUACAUGUGGAUACGUACACGUGGACAAUGAGGUCUAUGUGUACACGUGGACAUUAAUGUUGGCCAUACAUAUGUUGCAAUAUGCAAAUACAAGAACAAUAUCUAAAAAAGAAAUAUAAAAUGUUGAUAAAAACAUUCCUAAACACAUUUACAUAGUCAUAGCACAAAAUAGUAGCAUAGACAAAUUUCUAAAAUAAUGCAAUCAAUGCAUUUGUCUAAAACAAGUUUUUUUUCUCUCUGAUUGCACUAACCUAAUAGAGAAGGAGGAAAACUAGUUGCUUAAUCCUAUUUAGAAUGGAAAGGUUUGUAAAGCAUAUGUAUGGUCAGUGGGAGGGUUUGUGAAACAUAUGUACAUUUGUUUAGUGUACAUAUGUACAUGUGUUUAAUUGUGGUUGUACAUAUUUUUGUAGUUUUGCUUUGUAUCAGCUUGGCUUGUACGCUCAUUUUCUAUAUAUAUAUACAAAAUAACAGUAAAGAGAAGAUGAAACCAGACAUAUUGAUCAAGCUUCUAACUUCAGUACAAUAGGAUGAUCAAGCCUUCUCGUUACAAUGAUUGCUUUAGCCUUCUCAUUAGGAUGAUCAAGCCUUCUCAUUAUGGUCAAAGAUAAUCAUAUACUAGUUAACCAAAAGAAAUCACAUCAUUCAGGUUAUUAAACAAGAUUUAUAUGUACAAUAAGAUUAUUAUCCAUAUGUACACUGUUUAUUUACUAUCAGAGUGUACACAUUUAUAAUAUCCACAAACUAAAGCGUCACGAAAAGUAAAACUGAGACAAAAUAGGGUUCAUCGACCGGUCCGAAGAUCCCAUUGCCUUCUCUUCUGAGACACACCUAUCUCGUUGCUCAAAUCAGAUUUCAGUGGCUUUGUAACUGCCAACAAUCGGCUGAACCAUCAAAGCUAUCAUCUCCUCUGUUUCUGAGAUGAAUCUCCACCAUGUUAAUGCACCAGAUGAAUCUGCCACUGAGAUUCUUCUUCUCCACCGUCUCCAACAUCAUAUUCACAUCCAACCUUCCUCUCAAGUUACCAUGUAUAACAAAACCAUGAUCAGAUUUCAACAAAAGUGAAACAUGAGUCAUCAUUAACUCAUGUUUAGUUUUUCAAUUUGAGUUUGACGAGAAUUCUUUCAAAUUAACAACAAAAAGCUGUAGAAAUUACAGAUGAGAACCUCACCUAGCAAGAUAACACCAGCCAGACUUAUAGUUCUCAAAGAAAAUAUAGAUCUGUGUUGUUAACUUGUUGUUAUCUCUUAGCAAAACCUCUUCCAUAACUAAAGAAUUUCUUCUUGUCUUGUGUCAAUUGGUUCCAUAUUACUUUAGACAAUGCAUCUGGGCAACAUCAAACCUAAGACUCCGUAAAACUCAACAUUUUGUAUAAACUAUUAAAGCCUCAAGCUUCUCGCCGGAAAAAAGUUCGACGUUUAGUUCGACAUAUCUGAAAAAUUGAGAGAGAGAGAUAUUUUACCAAUUUAAAAUUCAACAUAUUUUAAAACCCACCAAAAAAAUAACAAGUGAGGAAGCAGAAAAAAAAUAAAGCCAAAGUUCAGUUUGCUACUGCUGAGAGGUUAUUGGUGUAAUUAACCACCCGAAAGUACCUCCGUAGCUAUAAGUGUCCUAGAGUGAUAAUAAAAACUUAAAAGUGACCUGCAAUGUUAAUAACUCUAUUUUUUUUUUGCUUCUAUCCAGAGCUGAACCUGGUUCGACUGAUCUUAGUAAGAGCAUCUCUAAAAAAAACUCUAUAACUUCAAAUAUAGAAUUUUUUACUCUCCGAAAAAAAACUUCAAAACUUCAAAUUUAGAGUUUUAAGAAGUAUUUGAAGUUUCACUUUUCAAAACUCUAAAUUUGAAGUUUCAUCUUUUUAUUUGUAUUUUGGUCCUUAUAAUUAAUUAUAUCUCACAUUUAUGAUUCUUAAGUAUUUUCUCAUUCAUAGUUUUAAUCUUUAAAACUUUUGAAUAUUUUAAAUAUUUCAAAUUUAUUUUUAUAAAUUUAAAUUUUACACAUAAUUUUUUUUAAAAAUAAAAUAAAAUAAGAUUUAUAAUAUUUUAAAAGUAGAAUUAGACAAUAAGAAUAUUACAAAAGAAAUUUAGUAUAAAUUUUUUUAAGAAAAUACAUGAAGACAUAAUUAUUACACAAAUUUAAAUAUUACAACAACACUAAUAGUCUAGUAAAUUUUCUCUGGAACUUCUAAAAUAUUUUCCAAACAAAUUUCGUGUAACCCAAAAUGGAGCAUUAAGAAAAUAAUUUUAUGUAAUAAUAUAGUAUUUUGCUUGUAGUUUAAUAUUUAAUUAUGUAUUCUAUUUAUAAUUUCAUAUUUUAAUAUAAUAUUUUAUUAAUUAAUAUUACUAUAAUAUUUUUAUAUAUGUGCUAGUUAUCUAUAAAAUUUUAUGGAUUUCUAUUAAUUAUGAAAAAUAUAAGGAGUAUAGUGUGAAUUACAAAUAAUUUUGAAGUAAAAUUUGAAGUUUUGCUUUUGGAGAAGAACACUUUGAAACUUCAAAUAUAGAGUUUGCAGAACUCUAUAAUAGAGAGUGUUUUUGGAGAUGAUCUAAUUAACAACCGUUAAUUAGUCUUUUUAUUAAUUUAUUCUAUUUAUAGAAGGUAACAAUAAUGGGUGUAGUUUUUUUUUCAACAAAAAAAGUCAGUUAAGUUUGAACGGAUAGAAAAUAUAUUUCUCCAAAGAGUAUUGGGAGAAAAUGAACGAGGGAUCAGAUGAAAUUGGAAUAUUGACAAUAAACAAUAAUUCAUCACCUAUAUAUUAUUUGAGAAGCAUUACAACUUCUUUUUGUAGCCACAUGUCAUCACUAGAAUGAUUCUUAGAAUCAUUAGAGAAAUAUGUUGGUCCAUCUAAUUAUAUAAUAAGUUUUUUAUUAAACUAACAAUAAAUUCAUCAUUAAUGUACUUUAUUAUUACCUUAAAUAAAAUUUACGGAAUUGCCUAAUGUGGCUAAAGUAUAUAUGGCAAUUAAUGAUUUUGAAUAAUAAAGAUUUGAUAAAAAAAUAGUGCAUCUUCUAUAUUUUUUUAAUUUAAAACUAUUAAAUAAAUUAAACAACCACAAUAACCAUAUAAUAAAAUUUUAGAUUUUUAUGUAUAUGUUAUAUUUUGAAUUUUUACAAACGGUUAUAAAUUACUAAAACUGUUAAGAGUCUCACAUUCAAAUUUUAUGAUACAUGGUUUAAAAAUUUUGUUAUGACAAUAUACAUAUGAUUACAAAAAUUAUAUAAGUAAAAAGUCUAAUUUAAUUAAUUAUUAAGAUUAAUAUAUAUAUAUCAUUUUAAAUUAAACUAUAAACCAUAUAAAAUACUAUAUUUUAGUUUCAAAAUUUACUUUGAACAAAUUUUUUGNNNNNNNNNNNNNNNNNNNNNNNNNNNNNNNNNNNNNNNNNNNNNNNNNNNNNNNNNNNNNNNNNNNNNNNNNNNNNNNNNNNNNNNNNNNNNNNNNNNNNNNNNNNNNNNNNNNNNNNNNNNNNNNNNNNNNNNNNCAUAAAAUAAUUUAUAUAUAUAAUGAUGAUUCCGCGCAAGGCGGGUCUUAACCUAGUUUAUAAGUAAAACAAAAACAAAAAGAUUAUAGAAAUUGAUUUUUGAUUUACCAUGACAUGGACCAACAAACCUUCCUUUUCUUAAAGGAUUGUCAUUAAUAUUUUAAAGUUAACUAGACUCUGACCUGCGUGACAGCGCGGGUAUGAAUUUUCAGCUUUUAAUUAUUUAUUUUAUUAAAUGAUGUAUUUGUAAUAUUCGUUCAUAUUAUAUUCAUUAAGUAAAUAUUUUUUUUGCAUCUUAAACUAUCUAUUUUUUUAUGAAUGUGUGAUAUCAUAUAAAAAUAUAUAAAAAAAUGAGUAUAGAAUUAAUUAGAUAAUUUUAAAAACAUAAAUUUUUCUUUCGUGUGCAAUAUCAUAUAAAUAAUGAUCCGUCCAAUUAACAAAAAUCAUGAUUAUUUUAUGUGUAAUUUUUUUUUUUGACCAUUUCCUUAAAAUUAUAUUAAAUUUUACAUAUUUUAAUUAGAAUAUUUUAAUAUCUUUACCUUUUUAUUUGAAAUACAACUCAAUAUUUUUUUUAACAAUUAUAACAAAAUAUUUUAAAUUUUUUUUUAGAAUUUGUUUGAAAAAUUUGAAAAUUACAUUUUAAAUUAAAAGUAUCCUAAAAUAUGAUAAGUUUUGAUGUAAACGAAAACUCAAAUUAUGUCAAAAAUAAUGAUAUUCAAUGAUAAUAACAAUUUUAAUUGAUUAUUUAAUUGAUUAUUUUUUAAAAAAUACAUUUACAGAAAUAUUGUUUGAAAAAAAAUUCAUUUAUCUUUCAAAUAUAAAAUGAAAAUAUUAUAAUUAAAUAAUAAAAAAUAUAAAUAAAAACCAUAAAUUUAGCAAAUGAAAACUGAGUUAUAUUAUGCUAAAAAAAAUUUUCUAACAAUUUAUGAAAUGACAAAUGAGUUAUGAGCAAAUAAUACCAUAUAAUUUUUAAAAAUAUAGCCAUUCUUAAAUAUUUUUUGAAUAAAUAAUUAUUUUUAAAUUUUAACAACUGAAAAUAAUAUCCGUACAAUUGUGUGAGUCAAAUUCUAGUUUUGUUGAUGCAUGUUAUAUAUUAGUGCUGCAUGUUUUAGGUAACAUUUUAAUGAUGCACGUUUUUAAAAAUCUCCAUUAUUAAAAUUAUGCACGUAAGGAUAACUCAUGAGUUUUUUUGGUUGAUUAAAUGACAUUAUGUCCAAAUUUAUUUAAGGAUAUUUCAUUAAGACUGAAAAAGACAAAUAAUAAAAUAGGAAGUUUAAAUUCAUUUAAGCAUAUUUCAUUAAUGUAACUGAAAAGAUAAAUAAUAAAUUAUGCAGUUUUAUUCGUUUUAAGAUAUUUCAUAAAUGCAACUGAAAAAGACAAGCAAAAAAAAAGGAAAUUUAAUUAAUGAAGUAAAAACAUUUUCAAAUAGAUACUUCUAUUUUAAUAAUAUAGAUUAAGUUUAAUAUCAAAUCGACGUGUGAUCAUUUUUAUUGUGCACAACUAUUCUGGAGCUUCCCGAAUUUUUCAACUGAGUAACAUGUUUUUUCAACAAAUCUUCGGCAGUGAGUUGUGAGUCUUGUGAUUGUUGGAACUAAGAAGGAAGAAACAAUGAUGUAGUUGUUGGAAUGAAGAAAAUAUGGCAAUCACCACAUACUUUCAUCGUCUAGUCCAAGUCCGAGCAUCUUUCAACUCCAUCAGAUCAUUCUCGCUACCAUCAGGUGCUCUGAUUACGGACCCCCUAGCGAUGGGACUUCAUGCUGUUUCUCACUUCCAGGCUCUCCUAUCCCCUGCAGUUCUACCAGAAUCGAUCUCCUCCCUCCAAUGGUUCCAAUCAUUGAUCCAGCACCGAUGUCAGGUCUCCCAAGCACAAUCUACGAUCACACUCCCUGAUGCUGCAGAAAUUACCAAGGUUAUUAUGAAACUAAAUGCAAACAAAGCACCAGGGCCAGAUGGGCUUACUUCGGGAUUUUUCAAGUCUGCUUGGAAUCUUCUAGGGGCAGAAACUGUAAAUGCAAUCAAAUCUUUUUUCUCAGCAGCUUUUCUCCCCUCAGCUGCAAACUCCACCAUCCUAACCCUUGUCCCAAAAAGACCAGGAGCUUCUGCAAUAGGAGAUUUCAGGCCUAUCUCGUGCUGUAACACCCUCUAUAAGGCUAUCUCUAAGCUGCUGGUUCAUUGCCUCAAGCCUCUUUUGCCUGAUCUCAUCCUCCCAAAUCAAACAGCGUUUGUGCAGGGACGCCUUCUUGUUGAAAAUACGGUUUUGGCUGCAGAAAUUGUCCACGGUUAUCAUCGGAACAGAGGAGCUAAACGGAUUGCCAUAAAAGUCGACAUUGCAAAGGCUUUUGAUACAAUAAGCUGGAACUUCAUCUUUACAUGUCUGACUAGCAUGGGCAUACCUACACUGUAUAUCCGCUGGUUGGAAGCUUGCGUUUGUACUGCCUCUUUCUCGGUAGGAUACAAUGGAACGGUCCAAGGGUACUUCAAGAGCAAAAGGGGUCUUCGUCAAGGAGAUCCCCUAUCUCCUUACUUGUUUGUAGUUGCAAUGAACUGCUUAUCUACUCUCCUCAACAACGCAGCGACAGAAGGAAGAUUUGGAUACCAUCAAAACUGCGAGGAUAGUAAACUAACGCACCUAUGUUUCGCUGAUGAUCUGCUAAUAUUCACCAAAGGAGAUAAACAAUCAGUUAAAGGAGUGUUGGAAGUACUAAAUGAAUUCGAAAGGCACUCGGGUCUUGGAGUAAGUCUAUCAAAAAACUGCUUCUUCACUUGUGGGCUACCGCAGACAGAAAUUACGGAAAUUGCUGAGGAAACAGGUCUGUCUCAUGGAACCCUCCCAAUCAGAUACCUUGGAGUCCCUCUCUGCACCAAAAAAAUAUCAUUGUCUAACUGUGAGCCACUGAUAUCAAGCAUAAAAGGAAAACUAAACUCUUGGUCAGCCAAAACUCUUUCUUUUGCAGGAAGAUUAUUACUUAUCAACACAGUUUUAGCAGGGAUCACAAACUUUUGGUGUAGCACUUUCACACUGCCCAAAUCAUGCAUAAAAAUAAUCAACUCCAUGUGUGGCGCUUACCUGUGGAAAGGGACUUUAGAGGGACAUCACUCGGCUCGUGUAGCAUGGGACACCAUUGUUCACGCAAAGGAGGAAGGGGGGUUAGGCAUCAGGGAUCUUGUAAGCUGGAACAAGGCCACUUCUAUCAGGCUCAUCUGGCUACUGUUCUUCAGCUCUGGUUCAAUAUGGGUAGCUUGGUUUGUUGAAGAAAUUAUAUCUGGCGAUCGCUCCAAUUUCUGGAUAAUCAAAGAAUCAAAUAAUCAUUCCUGGCUUGUCAAGCGCUUUCUUCGCUUAAGGCCAUUGGUCUACAAUUGGAUUCAUGUCAAGCUAGGAAAUGGAAGACAUGCUCGUUUUUGGAGCGAUAAUUGGUCCCCUUAUGGAAAUAUAUCAGAUUUUCUUCAACUCCAGCCUCACUCAAGAUUAGGCAUCCCAAGACUCGCCACCGUCUCAGACCUCUACGUUGAUGGUGAUUGGAUACUCCCACCGGCUCGAUCAGAUGCACAAGUACUCCUGCAAUGCUUCAUCUCUGCUGUCACAUUAAAUCAGGAAUAAGAUCAGUAUAAUUGGGAAAUCAACAACAAGUCAUAUACAUCUUUCUCUACUGGAAUUGUGUAUACCGAGCUUACGCAUCACAAUCCGUUGGUCCCCUGGUUUAGCAUUGUUUGGCUAAGACAAGGUACUCCUAAGCACAGUUUUCUCUCGUGGCUCCUGCUCCUAAAUCGAUGUCCUACCCGAGACCGCUUGCUGAGCUGGGGACUUGCUACAGAUCCCUCAUGUCUUCUCUGUAACAAUGCACCAGAAAGUCGCGACCAUCUUUUUUUCACAUGUAGCUAUUCGUGGCAUAUCUGGUCGACAAUAGCACGGAGAAGCAGGUUCUCGCCGUCAGCCUCCUGGGAUCAAACCAUCGCCGACCUUCAACUGACGCAUAGAUCACGCCACCAGCGGUAUCUCUCCAUCCUCUGUUGGCAAUGCUCGAUGUACAUGAUUUGGUCAGAACGAAACAACAGGUUGCAUAGGCAGAUCUUCAAACCUCCUGAAGCAAUCAUCUCCUCCAUUGAAGCAACCAUCAGAGCAAAAAUCUCAGCGAUCAGAUACGACUCUCCUCCUCUGUUUUCUCCGUUUGGAAUCCUUAAAGUCGAUGACUUCCUCCAACAACACUAUGGGCUUUCCUCCAACAUCACUUUGGGCCUCUAUCCUUCAGAAGCUUAGGGUUUUUUACUUACCAGUUGGGUUUCAAUUAUGUUUUAUCAUAUAUGGGUUUGUAAUAUGGGUCUAAAGACCUAAAACAAAAUGCUGGCAGACUGUGACUCUUUUUAUUUCUUUAUGCAAUUUAAAUAAAAUGCCCUUUUUCAAAAAAAAAAAAAAAAAAAAAAUGGCCAAAAUAAAAGAGUCAUUGCAUGAUCCAAGCCAACCCAUAUCCACAUGUCCAAGACUAGUUGUUGGAGAUGCAUUAAUUAUGCAUGUUUUGAAAAACUAAAGCUUGCUCAAGCCGUGAUUGUAUCUUCUCUGCAUGAUCAAUAUUUGAAUUAGAAGCUCCUCUUGUGUAUUGUAUAAAUAUGUAAUAUGUUCUAAUAAUAAACCAAGGAGAAAGAUCUUCUCUCUUCAUUUACUCUUUUACUAUUUCUCUCACAACAGCAACAUUCUUCAUUCUCUUUUUUUACUUUUCUAGAUCUGACUCUCUUUUUCUCUCAAUGUUCUCGAGUGUUCUUGGUUAUUCAUCAUCUUUUUUUACGUUACUUUAUGGUAUUGACUUUAUGGGCCGAAGUUUCAGUCUAACUAUUCUCGUGUCGUGUGUAUUUGCAAAUUUACAGUAGUGUUUACUGUCUGUUUUGGAAAUGAGACUAUUAAUUACAGUAUCGUAAUAAACCGUUGUGAGAUGGAUUCAAAACAUUUAGAUAUAUUAAAAAACAAUACAUGUACAUAAACUUGGAAGCAUUAAUGGCUAAGGCGUAUGGUGAAGAUGGGCUGUUUGGACCAAACUUAGUAAUGUAUGCAUAGUUGCAUACACAUUUAACAUUAAUCGUAAUCGUAGACCAUAGACAGGAAUAAAAUAGAAGAAAAGGAAAGAUGGGUGUCUUAUGGAGAUGGGGCAUAGAAUAGGGAAUCCAUGUGAAGGCAGUUGAUUCAGAUGGGCUCGCCAGCUUUCAUUUUCGCUUUGUUUACUGGUCAUUUCUCUGUAAAUAUUUUAAUAAUAAGAAGAAGAAUAGUUUAGUUUUUGUCUGAUACUUUAUUGUAAGAGUUUCAUUUUUUAUAGAUCACUUAACUUGUAGCUAUAGCAAUCUCCAACCUUUUUCCCCAAUAAAGAACUUUUAAACAAAUUAUAAAUAUACAUUUCAAUGUAAUUUCAUGUUUAAAGGCUAUAGUAUUGUAUCUGCUAUAAGUGAGUUGUUGCGUUGGACCUAUAUUAACCCAUAUUCCCUUUCAACGUUCAACUAAUCACAACUAAUUAAUAAUAUAAAAAUAGCCUUUUUGCAAACAUAACAAUUAGCAUCUGACAUGUUUAAACGAGUCGAAUAAUAGUAUAUUUUGGUUACGCAUGGAUAUAUAAUUUAAUUUACUUUUGUCAAAAAAUCGAUAUAUAAUUUAUAGAUUUAUAGAUAUCGGUAGCCUAGAGUUUAAAACGAAAGUUGUAUAAUCGACGUAAUUCAUAAUACAUUGAGAAGAUAAAAUGGUUCAUCUAACUUUUUUCUAAUUCAUAAUCAUUGAUUGAUACACUUUCUUGUCCAUGUAUAGUGUAUAUUACAAGUCGUUCUCCUUUAAUUAUAUGAUCGAAUGUUUAUAGUUUUAUUUCAGUUUCAGAUGCUUUUCGAUUGGUCCAGCUGCAUGUGAAAACCUGUGCAUUAACUAUUAUCUUAUAACUACCCAACUUAUAUAAUUAAUCCGUCUAAUCAUUCAAAGUGAUACUUUCCCGUUAAACGCACAUUUUAUCAUAAUCAUUAAUCAUUCAUUGAUGCUUUUGUCCGUCUACAACUCGACCACACACAAUUUUCGAAGUUAAAAUCUAAAUAACGAACACAACAUAAAUACAAAACCAACAAAUCAUAAAACACAUUAAUAAUCUCAUUAACGACUCUUGGUGAUUCGAAAUUACAACAGCAUUUUAACUCAGAUCUUAUCCACAUUAUAUAAUUUUUUCGUGAGAAUUUCCCCAAAAACAAAAGUAAAAAAUAAAUCUCUAGGAAAUAAAAAUCCGGCUUCCGGACAAAAAAAACACCAAUUUUAGAAGCAAAAAAAAGAACAAAAAAGGUAAAAAAGGAAAAAAGGAAUUAAUUAACAUCCUCAGAGAUACUAUCAAGGUGCGGCCUCCACGUGGAUACUGUCGCCGAUCUACUAUAUCGCCGGCGAUGACGGUGUUGUUUACCACUCGACGUCGAAGACACAACUUCUUCUAAGUACUUCUCACACAACUUGGCACAUUCAUCAUCUUCUUUAACGUCUCCAACGUCAGCGCUAGGUUUGUUGAUGAGAGUUUUUUUUGGACGAUUAUGACCGUCUUUUCUCCUCCUUUUCUUCUCCGGCAAGGAAGAGUCCGGGAUGAGAAAAUAGAUACUUCCUCGCUUGAGCUCGGAUUCAGGGGACAAGAUCAAGAUUUUGCGGACAACACCUUGAGAACAUGGUUUGCUCAAGACAUGGUUAGGGUUUGCUUGGAGGAUCUCUCCGGCGGUUAUUGACCGUGUGAUCUCUUCAACGUAGCCGUUUAGAUGAACGAUCCUGAUCAAAUCUAGUGCCCCACAUGGAAGAACACAAGCUAGACAACACCUUAAGCUGUUUCCCAUCUCUCUAUCUCUCUCACUCUUCUUGUACGUUCUCUCUUUCUUUUGAUAAUCAGGUUUAUGGGGAAGAACAAGUUGGAGAAGACGAGGUUAUAUAGGAGCCAACACUUCACGUAACAACAAAGCGGACUAGAUCAUACGGUCCAGACGUAUACGCCGAUAAGUAAAAGACUUAAUUGUCCUUUUGUUAUCUGUUUAUUAACUGAACCCACCCUUAUAUAACCAUGUAUUAUUAUUAUCUUCAUUAACUGAUUUAUAUAUCAUUAACCGCCAAAAUUAUACUCCAUUUGUUUUACAAGUUUUCGCACGUAUUAAAAAGACUAAUAAAAGUUCGUAUAUUACAUUCCUUAUUAAUGCAUAAAAUAAAAUUUUGUAGAUCAACGAAAUUUUAAUAUCUAGUCAAAACACGAGAACAAUAGGGUUAAAGCUAGAAUUCACUCAAAAUUUUCAUAACUAAUUAUUAUAUGGAUUGUGUACCACUAUAUGCAUGUGAUAUUCUCUGAGCUGAAAAUCUGGUGGAAAUUCAUAUACUAAUAAUCUAAAUAAUAAUCUACUGUUGGGAAAAGGUCGAAAUGGAUCGAGUAAAGAUAUUUUGACGCUAUAUGACAAAUUUUACAGAAACUUUUUCUUAGAUUCUUUCUCGAAUAAUACCAAAUCUUGAAACUAGGAGCGUGUUGGGAUUAGAUAGAUAGCUCGUAAUUUACAGUGCGAAACAAUGACCAAAGACUUGGAAACUGAAAAAGGACUAUGUAUUUAAUUUCAACGCGUACUGUACACUAGAAAUACUUAAACAAUAGUAGUAUGUUUGAUAGUUAUUAACAUCUUAUGAUCCACACUACACCCUAUUUAACUCUUUUUAUAUUUUUCUCAAAUCGUUUGUUUAGUUCAAUAUCUGAUCUCUAUCAGCACGAUGUAUGCAUCUUAUUCUGUCUCAUCCACUGGUUCUAUAGUGACACUCGAAUCUUUUCUAUGGCCACAACUUUAAUAUUUUCCUACUGCUGUGUGUAGUCCCAUUUCCAUCAAUCCUUGAAUGUCAUAUACUGAUAUACAUGUGUACUUGACUAAUUUAACAUUCAAUCAUAGGUCGGACGAGCUGAACAUUAAACAAAAUAUAAGAAACCACUUUUUCUUUUGAAAAAUAACAGCUGUCUUGAAGGAAUAAACACUAUCAUGAGUUCAUUUUCUUCUUUACAAAAUAUACGUUAUUCGCUUAUAUAGAUAUUUUCGUUUACGGUUUUAUUCUCAUGAUUUAAACCAUAAUAGCACUCUCAAACUAAUGUAGGGACUAUUUAAGUAUGCUUAUUUAUAGGAGCAUAACAUUUUAUGUUACUUAAAUUAUUGUGUUGCUUUUAAGACUUUCUGCUAAUGACUAUUCUCACACUAAUUAAAGUCAAAACCGUUCGUACGUUAAAUAUGCACUUAACUAAGAUAUCUGCAACUUGCGGGGAUUGUACUGGAGUACAAUUGAAGACACGUUGGUGUCGGAGAUUAAUGAGUAACUAAGCGUACUUGAUUAAGCAAGAAAGGGGACAAGUAAACCGCAGGACCACAUCAAUAUAUACUUAAAAUACUUAAAAUUUUGAAUAAAAAGAAAAUGAUAAACUUCUUAAGAGCCCCUAAACCAAAACUGAUGUACUUUAUUUACUGGUUUAGGAAAAAGGAGCUCAGCAUUUAAUUUCUCAGUCAGAGUUCUAUUGUGAAAUAAUCAGGUUCUCAAAAUGUAUUCAGGCUUCUAACUGAAAUAAGUUUGUAGGAAAAUCAUCUCGAUGUCUCUUCAAUAUAUUUUAAAUACAAGUUUAUAUUUAUUUAUUUAUUUAUUUAUUUAUUUAUUUAUAUUAGUAAGGGUCUGAUUGGCAGAUAGACUAUUCAGACUUUAGAAGAUUUAACAGCCCUUAAAGUUAAUUUUCUCCAAUCAGGUUUUUACUAAAAGUUUAUGAUUUAAAGUCUUCACAGCCCGUAACUGUUUUUACUUCUAUAUUUUCGUUUGUUUUCUAACAGCCAGAGAAUCAUGGCUUUUAAAAGACUAUGAGAAUCAUGGCUUUUGGACAGCAAAGAACUAUUUGAUCUUCGAAAACAGAGCCCGGACGCCAGCGAAGAUUCUUACCAAGGCUGUAAAAUCAUGAUUAACCCGGGAUUCUUAGUAUGAAGUUCUUAUCGUAAGUUAAGAAACUGUUUCUUAACUUUUAACUAAAAAAACUAAGAACCGGUUCUUAAAUAAGGACUUUAAGAACCGGUUCUUAAAUAAGGACUUUAAGAACCGGUUCUUAGCUUUUUUAGUUAAAAGUUAAUAAACAGUUUCUUAACUUCCGCUAAGAACUCCACUUUAAGAACCCCGGGUUAAUCAUUGUCUAAGUAAUGCAAAAGAAUGGCUUCUUGCUCAGAUAUCUACUACACCGUCUCGCUCACCGCCGUCGCUUAAAUAAGAAAAUGUUGAUUGUACGAGAAUCAGAGCUCCCCCUGUUUGUUUACCGAUUUAAUCGAAGGUGUUUCCGUCGAAAGAAAAUCUAUUUCUAGCCUCUCAGUAAAUAAUGAUCAAGUGAGCCAAAAAAAUUUCAGUUCAUAUUUUUCUAAUAAAAAAAAAUCUGGGAUUCCUAAUUAUUCAGAAUUGAAUGGAAUCGUAGGUACGAACCCACCCUUACAACCCACAAGCAUUUAAUGUUUUACUGAUGCAGCUUGGCAUGCUACAUCCUCUAAAGCGGGAUGUGGGCGGAUCUUCAUCACCCAACAGGAUGAGCAACUCCACCAGGGUACUGCUACCUUUGAUAAUACCUCGUCUGCACUAGUAGCUGAAGCGUUAGCUAUAAGAUCGGCUCUUCUCAACGCCUUCGAAGCCGACUUUACAAGAAUCUGCAUCAAGUCAGACUAUCAAGCACUUGUUGCUGCCAUCAACUCGAAGAAUCACCCGAAGGAUCUCUACGGAAUUUCACGGGACAUCGAGCAUCUAUCCCUCUCCUUUGAUUGUAUUGCUUUUUAUUAUGUUUCCAGAAACUUGAACUCUUUGGCUGAUUCACUUGCUAAAUCAGCUUUGUACUUGGCUACCACCAACUAUUCUUAGUUGGGCUGCAGAUUUUAAUAUAUGUUGUGUUGUGUUAAAAAAAAAAGGACUGUGAGAAAUAGAAUUUAACUCUUUUUUUUUUUUUUUUUGUUCUUCACAUUCCCAGAAAAAUUAAAGAGCAUCUCUACAUCAAUUUAUGUUUCGUCGCAACAAAUAAAUUCAUUAGUACACAAUUACUCUUUAAUUUCUUUAGUUUAAGAUUCAUUUCUCAUUAAAAAAAUUAUUUGGUGAUGUUAGAGAGGGAAGUAAAUUAAUUUAUUUAGUUUACUCAUAAACCAAGAAAACAACCAAACUUUUAAUGAGAUAUAACUCAAAACUUUUUCUUGAUAAAUUGAUUUCAAUAAAAAUAUUGAUAAUCACAUGUAUACAAUAAUUGCAUAUAUAUAAAUUUAGCAUACUUUUUUAAUAGUCAGAGCUUCUAAAGUUUUCGAUACCAAUCAUUUUUACAAAUAUUUAAAGUGACGGCCACAAUUUUUAAUGCCAAAAUCUCUACAUCUAAAAAAUAUAAAAAAAUUUAAACCAAAAAUCCUAAAGCGAAAGUCAUUAAUAAUAUUUUGUUUUAGUAAAUAAAUUGUAAUCUUAUUUUAAAUUUAAUAAAAAAAUAAAUUUGUUGGUUUCAAUUUUAUAUUUAUUUUUAAAAUAAAUAAAUAAAAUAUUUUGUUGAUAAAUUUUGAUUGUUUUUUUUCUAAACUAUCCAAUAUAUUUUAUGAACUUGAAUAAAUAAAAAGCUAGAUUGCAGUAAAUUGGUAAUACAUUUUGGAAAUGAAUCAUAAUAUAUAUUUAUAACAGUCACAGCUUCUAAAGCUUUUGAUGUUAAUCAAAUUUUUAAAUUUUUCUCAAAUAACAGUUACGGUAUUUAAAACCAAAAUCUCUACGGCCACAAUUUUAAAGUCAAAGUCUAAAGCGAAAGUGAUUACCAAAUGACCCUAAGUCAUAUUAACAAAGUUACUUCAAUCUAGGUCUGAAUUUGUCACGUUUCGUUUUAAUACUGCAGCUUCACAAGAGGAUAUGGCACAUAUCACGAUCAAGAACGUAAAAAGAGCAUGUAUUAAACAAACAAACAAAAUCUGGUGGCAGAAAAUAAAUCAUGGAAACGAAUCAACGACAUGAAAGAGAUGAAGCUUCGUCGUACGGAGGUCUUGGACACCGACGAUGUACGAUUGUCAAGAGUAUUAAUUAAUCUAAUCAGAGAGUGGCGAACGUAAUGAACACACGGGUGAGAUUUUGUGCGUGUGUGUGUGCCACAAUGUGUUACAUACUGAAUCUUCAAAAGGGUUUAAUGUGAUCAUAAUUGGAGAACGUGAGCCAAACCUGUCUUGUUCCAUAAUUUCACAACUUCCACGGUGGACCAUUAACCGUUUUGGACGUAUAUGAUUUCCGUAAUCUUCAUUGAUCUCCCGCUGCACGUACUUCUAUUCCAAACUCGUUUUCGUGUUAGAACUUUGGAGGAUCCAUUUUUUAAAGAGAUUCUAUACAUAUCAAAAUCAAAAUAUCAACAUAAACAACCACAUACAAUAAAAAACACUUUUUAUCAAAAUCAACAACAACCACAUAUAUGCACAAUGAUAGUGGUAUUAUGGUAUAUGAUUUUCUUGCAUGAUCUCGUUAGUUUCUUUUGUACCUAUAUUUUAACGUUUUAGAAUAUAUUUGAACGCACUUUUGGUUGUAAGGGCUUAUUCUUGACCAUAAUUACACAUCAAUUCUCCAUAUCUACCUUUAUCUACUAUAAACAUUUUGUAGUGACCAGAUUGCUCCAAUUUAUCGGUACUUUCUCCGAGUGAAUGUAGAUGCCUUUAAAUUUUUGUAGAUGCGUUUGGACAAAAACAUAUAUUGGAGUGGCCAUAAGAUAUGAUUGACAAAUACUUGGGUUUGAUUCAAGUACACCUGGACAAGAUUUACCAAAGUUCAAAGUUUAAGAUAUUUUUGUCAGAACAAAUUGGUUCUUAUCUUUUUACACAAAGAGUACAAAAUUUUCCAUUUUUAGUAUAAAAUAUUCCAGGGUUUGUUUCUUUUCGCUGGGUUAUCUUUUCAGUUUUGGUAAAGCUUUAAAUCUCUUUAAUUAGAUUUUAUUAUUUAUUUUUUGUCAGGAAAACCGUUGUUUGACCCUUUUGUUUUUUUUCAUUUUCAAGAAAUAACAAACUCAUAACAAACAAUCCAGUUCAAUAGAAAAUCACUUUCGAACACUUAUAUAAAUCCAUCUCAUUGAAAAAAAAAGAUUUAUCAAAUUUUAAUCAGAAAGUUGAACAAAAAGUAAAAGCGUAACAAUUACAACUACAAUGGCUACGUCCAAAACCAUAGCGGUCAUUCUAUUCCUAAUAACGCUAGUUAAGUCUAGCAACGCGGCUGAGAACGCCACAACGCAACCGCUCGCCCCAGCCAUCCUAAUCUUCGGAGAUUCAACCGUGGACACGGGCAACAACAACUACCACGCCAAUGCCAACUUCAAGGCAAACCAUAUCCCUUACGGAGUCGACCUCCCAGGGAAAGUAGCGAGCGGGAGAUUCUCAAACGGAAAGCUAUACUGCGACAUCGUGGCCUCCAAGCUUCACAUCAAAGAGCUUAUUCCUCCUUUUCUACAACCUAACCUCUCAGACGCAGAAAUCGCCACCGGGGUUAGCUUUGCAUCCGCUGGCUCAGGCUUUGACGACCAAACUAUGCUCUUGACCAAGGCCAUCCCCGUCUCACAUCAACCUACAAUGUUCAAGAGUUACAUUGAACGUCUCAAAGGUAUUGUAGGGGAGAACAAAGCGAUGGAGAUCAUCAAUGGUGCCAUCGUGAUGGUUAGUGCGGGUACUAACGAUUUCAUCUUGAACUAUUAUGAUUUCCCCACAAGGCGUCAAGAGUAUCCUCAAGUAUCUGAUUACCAGGAUUUCGUGCUCAAGAGACUAGAUAAAUUCGUCAAGGUAAACAUCUAAUAGAAUUUUUUUUCUUCCAUAAAUCUAUACUCUCUACAUAUAAAUUUUAUGAGCAGUGUUUUAAAAUACUGUAUAGAAUAGUCAGGCUGUUGACAAAAAAUAUAGAACAAUUUUCUCAAAUAAUUAUUUUUAAACUUUUGUCACAAAAAUAGCUUUAAAAAAAAAGAAAAUGACUAAAAUAGCUUUUUUAUUUUUAUUUUUUUUAUUUUUUAUUUUUAAAAACAAUUUGAAACUCUAUCCCCAAAAUCACACAUCUUUAACACUAAACCCUAAGUGUAAAUUAGUUAACCCUAAGAUAAACAUGAUUUUUUUGGUCGUUUUCUUCAUUGAGUACUAUUUAUGUUAACAUAAACUAAAAAAAGCUAUUCUAGGAAAUUUCUCAUUAUAUAUAAAAAUAAUAAUAUAUAUAAUGUCGGUGGGUGUUUAUACAAGAUAUAUAUCGUUAUAUUUUAAAAUAAAUAAAUAUAAUACUAUAUCAUCCAUAAUUGUAUAUCGAUUUAUUAAAUAAAGUCUGUAUGAAUAAUGAAAAUGUUUUUACCUCCAAUAAUAUACUGGUCAAGUAUGUCUUGUAUAUAGCCGUCAUGAAUUAGCUAGAGACUACUAAUGUACCCUUUACGUUUUUGAUAUGUCUAGGAGCUUUACAAUUUAGGGUGCCGAAAAAUGUCGGUGGGUGGGUUGUCGCCUAUAGGCUGUUUGCCGAUCCAAAUAACCUCAAAACUCACCAGAGGCAUAUCCAGAAGAUGCAUAAACAGUGAGAACAAAGAUGCUGUCUUGUACAAUGAAAAACUUCAAAAGCUAUUGCCUACUAUUGAAGCUUCUCUUCCAGGAAGCAAGAUCUUAUACGCAAAUGUCUACGAUCCUAUGAUGGACAUGAUCAAGCACCCUGCCAAAUACGGUAUGUUUACUUUGCUUCUUCCACAAGUCAUCAUCACCCUAGUUUAUAUAUUGACGGCUUGGAUAUUUAUUCACGUGUAGGGUUUAAGGAAACCAGGAAAGGGUGUUGCGGAACAGGGGUUUUAGAGACGAGUGACAUGUGCAAUUCCGGUUCUAAGUUGUGUUCCAAUCACUCGGAGUAUAUGUUCUUUGACUCUAUUCACCCUUCCCUCGCCACCUACACUCACCUCGCUGGUUCUUCUGCCUACUCUACCAUAUCGAAGCUUCUUGAUGCCUAAAGCUCUCAACUAUUAAGUAUUUUAUUGCUUAUACAGUUUUUGUAUUAGUCACCAUGAGAUUGAUUUUAUUCUUUGAUGUAUAUUGUCACUUUUUUUUUAAUUCCAUCAACAUUCACCAAACAAAACAGGAAAACAUUAUUUAACAGGAUUCACAAUGUUACAAAUUUUAGAUUAAUAAUCCUUUUCUUUUCCAUUUUAAAAUUUAUCAACUUUAGCGUUCUUUGAACAACCCCUUAAUCCCCAACUACAAAUCUUCAACAGUAUAUAAGCAAUAGGAUUAAUUUUACAAUUUUCUUAAAUAAAAAUACUUGUUAUAAAAAUAAAAACGAUUAUAUUCUUUUAGAAACAAAAUAGAUGAAUACAUUAAACACACACAUUUAUACUUAAAGUUACUCUAUUAUAGAAGAAAAUAUUGGAAAAUACAUUAAAGAUGGUUUUAUAUAGAUAUUUCCGUUAAUAGCAAUCUCAAAUUAAUGAUUUAAACUAUAAUAGCACUCUCAAAUUAAUGUAAGAGCCAUUUUAAGUAUGUUUAUUUAUAGUAGCAUAACAUUAAUGUUACUUAAAUUAUUGUGUUGCUUUUAAGAUUUUCUGCUAACGACUGUUUUCAGAUUGGAGAUAUCUCCAGCCUAUAACACACGUUUGGUUAGAUUUACCCUCGUGUGCAAUAUCUUUUUGUUAUUGUUUUGGACGUAAAUGAUUUCCGUAAUCUUAAUUGAUCUCCCUCUGCACGUACUUCUAUUAUUAACUCGUUUUCGUGUUAGAACUUUGGAGGAUCCAUUUUUAUAAUAGAUUCUAUAUUUCUAUACAUACAAAAAUAUCAACAUAGACAACCACAUACAAUAAAAAAAUCGUGUCAAAAACAACAACAACCAUAUAUGCAUAUGCACAAUGAUAUAGGUAUUAUGGUAUAUGAUUUUCUUGCAUGAUCUCGUUGGUUUCUUUCUUUAUCUUUUUUUUUUGCUAAAACUCGUUGGUUUCUUUGUACCUAUAUUUUAACGUUUUAUAAGAUAUUUGCAUUUCGGUUGUAAGGCUUAUUAAUUAUUAUUGACCAUAAUCACACAUAUCAGUUCUCCAUAUCUACCUUAAUAUCUACUAUAAACAUUUUGUAGUGACCAGGAUGCUCCAAUUCAUAAGAGUAUUUUUCUGAGUGAAUGUGCCUUUAAUUUUUUGUAGAUGCGUUUGGACAAAAACAUAUAUAUUGGAGUGAUAACCACGCAUCUGUGGUCGGGUGGUCAAGGCGUUCUGUGGAUUUCUAAAGGGACCCGAGUUCGAAUCCGCACAGCACAAGAUUUUCACGCGCGCAAUCACCUGGGCUUUCACAUUCUCUCUCCGGAGAAUGAUUUACCACUUUUUUUAGCAAAAAAUAUAUAUUGGAGUGAUCAUGAGAUCGAGUCAACGAAUACUUGGGUUGAUUCAAGUACAUUUGGACAAAAAAUUUACCAGAAUAAUUUUUACCAAAAUAAAAGUUUCAACCUUUUUUGUACAAAUUGGUUCUUAUCUUUUUACUCGAGAGUACAAAAUUUUCCAUUCUUAGUAUAAAAUAUAAUUAGGGUUUGUUUCUUUUCGGUUUGGUCAAGCUUUAAUUCCCUUUAAUUAGAUUUCACUAUUUAUUUUUGUCAGACAAACCGUUGUUUGACCCUUCUGUUUUUUCCCAUUUUCAAGUAAUUAACAAACUCACAACUAACAAUUCAAUCCAAUAGAAAAUCACUUUCAAACACAUAUAAAAUCCACCUCAAUGAGAAAAAGAUUUAUCAAAUUAUAAUCAGAAAGUUGAACAACGAGUAAAAGCGCAAUAAUCACAACUACGAGUGCUCAAUUAUUCACAAUGGCUACGUCCAAAACCAUAGCGGUCAUCCUAUUCCUAACAACUCUAGUUGCGUCCAGCAACGCGGCUAAAAAAGCCACAACGCGACCGCUCGCCCCGGCCAUCCUAAUCUUCGGAGACUCAUCCGUUGACACGGGAAACAACAACUACCUCCCCGAUGCCAACUUCAAGUCUAAUCAUAUCCCUUACGGAGUCGACCUCCCAGGGAAAGCAGCGAGUGGUAGAUUCUCAAAUGGAAAGCUCUAUUGCGACAUUAUCGCCUCCAAGCUUCACAUCAAAGAGUUAGUUCCUCCUUUUCUACAACCUAACCUCUCUGACACAGAAAUCGUCACCGGUGUUAACUUUGCAUCCGCUGGUUCUGGCUAUGACGACCAAACUGUGCUCUUGACCAAGGCCAUCCCCAUCGCAUAUCAACCUACGAUGUUAAAAAGUUACAUAACUCGUCUCAAAGGUAUUGUAGGGAAGAAGAAAGCGAUGGAGAUCAUCAAUGGUGCGAUCGUGAUUGUUAGCGCGGGUACUAACGAUUUCAUCUUGAACUAUUAUGAUUUCCCCUCAAGGACUCAAGAGUAUCCUAAAGUAUCUGAUUACCAAAAUUUCGUGCUUAAGAGACUAGAAAAAUUCGUCAAGGUAACCAUCUAAUCGCAAUGAAAAUAUAUUUAUUUAAAAAUAUAAUAAUAUAAUCAUAUAUAAUUUUAUUAAAUAAAAUCUGCAUGAACAAUGAAAAUUGUUUGUACCUUCAAUAAUAUACUGGUCAAGUAUGAUCGAUCACUUGUAUAUUCCCAAUCAUUAUCUAGAGAAUACUAUUAAUGUACACUUUGUGUGUGUGUGUGUUGAUAUGUCUAGGAGCUUUACAAUUUAGGAUGCCUAAAAAUGUCGGUGGGUGGGUUGUCUCCUAUGGGCUGUUUGCCGAUCCAAAUAACCUCAAAACUUAGCAGAGGCAUAUCCAGAAGAUGCAUAAAAAGUGAGAACAAAGAUGCAGUCUUGUACAAUAGAAAACUUCAAAAGCUACUCCCUGCUAUUGAAGCUUCUCUUCCAGGAAGCAAGAUCUUAUACGCAAAUGUCUACGAUCCCAUGAUGGACAUGAUCAAGCACCCUGCUAAAUACGGUAUGUUUACCUUGCUUUUUCCACAAGUCAUCACCCUAGUUUAUUGACGGCUUGGAUAUUUGUUCACGUGUAGGGUUUAAGGAAACCAAGAUAGGGUGUUGCGGAACAGGGGGUUUAAGUGACAUGUGCAAUUCCGGUUCUAAGUUGUGUUCCAAUCACUCUGAGUAUAUGUUCUUUGACUCCAUUCACCCUUCCCUCGCCACCUACACUUACCUCGCUGGCUCUAGCUACGCUACCUUAUCGAAGCUUCUUGAUGCCUAAAGCUCUCUCAACUAUUAAGUAUUUCAUUGGUUAUACAGUACUUUAUGUAUUUGUCACAAUGAGAUUAAUUCUAUUCUUUGAUGUAUAUUGUCACUUUUUAAUUCCAUCAACAUUCACCAAACAAAACAAAAAAAAAACCAUUAUUUAACAGGAUUCACAAUGUUACAGAUUUAUAGAUUAAUAAUCUUUUUCUUCUUUUCAUAUUAAAAUUAAUCAAUUCUAGCGUUCUUUGAACAACCCCUUAAUCCUCAACUCCAAAUCUUCAACGGUAUACGGAAUAAACGGCUCUCCACGCCUCCCAUUAAUCUCCGGCGACGCCUUCAAUCUUCCGACGAAGCUUGAGUACGCCGGAGACACAAUGCCAGCAACGGAGCUUCUCAACUCCUCUCUCAACUGCUCAUCAGUAACAACCCAUUGAGAUUGCAUCAAACACACUUCAUCGAACCGGGCUUUGAACUGUUUAAGAUUCUCUAUCAACUUAGAAUAUGGACUCUCGGUCCUAAGCAAUGCCACGACUUGGUUCCACGAGCUCCUUAGGAAGUUCGAAUGGUAUUGUCUCAGCUUCGCUGCAUGCUUAACAAUCCAGUCUUCUCCUAGGAUCGAACCAAGCUCGUUAUCGGUCGCCUUGUCAAGAAUAUACUUACCGUUGUUCAUCAUGAACAAGAAACACAAAGGCGGGUCACGGUACGUUCGUUUCUUGCCUUCCAAGUUACUCUCCAACAACUCCAAAACCCAUAUGAGUUGCACAGACAAAGGUCUCGUCUCUGAUCCGGCGUCGUUCCCGGUAUGGUCGAGGAUCUGCUCCAAGGAUUGUCGCGAUUUACACGCCGCGCGCAGAUAAUUCAUAACGUACCGUGUGAUAGGGUGAAUCCCACCGCCAGGAAACGCGGUUUUGGGAGGGUCGCGACGGAUCAAAUUCUCAAGCUCCAUAAAUAUUCCUCUAACCGCUUCACCUAACCGUUUCUGAAUCGCAACCGCCUCGUGCUUCAGCGGCGAACAAUAUUUAUUAGAGAACAGCGUUUCCAUUUUUGGAAUUAAGUCUUCAACCGCUUCGUAUAAAUCCAUAACCUUAAACAAGCGUUCAGGCAAACGGCUCCCUAGAGCGAUCGCGUCUGCGAAGUUCAAAAGCUGCGUGGUCGUCCCGCGACAAACUUCCAUGAAGAAUAGAUCGGUUACGGAUGAGACAGGGAGGUCGGAGAAAACGCGGUCGCAGAGGAGACGCUCGCUAGGGAAGAAAACGCGGAACACCAUUGUGACGGCUUUGAUCCAACGGUCGAUUUCGUCUUCCAGGUCUUGCCACGGAGAGUCUUGGACUUCUUCCAUGCUUAGCCCUCUCAGAUGUAACCUCGAUAGACUCUCCUCUAGAAACUCUCUACGUCGACUGCUGUAGACUCGUGAACACUCUUNNNNNNNNNNNNNNNNNNNNNNNNNNNNNNNNNNNNNNCUCGUGAACCCUCUUUCCCGAAUCCACCUGCGACCAUCCGCACAGCGAUCGCGUUGAGAUCGCCUAUGACGCUAGAUUGUAGCGGCUCGAUCACGAUUUUGUAGUCAGUCACUGGACGGGCAACGAUAACCUAUUCCAAAACCAAACCGUAUCAUGUUUAACUGACAAAAUUUAAACCAAACAAAAAAAUAUAUUUUCUUACAAAAAAAAAGAAAAACAAAUUGAAAUCCAUUUAAAUAUUACUAAAUAAUUGAAUAGACGCAAAAUUUGUUAGAUGAUUAUAUUGAUAAUAGACAUGACAAUUAAUCCAUUUUAACAUUACUGAAUAAUUGAGUAAACACAAUAUUUGUUAGAUUUAAAUCCUAUUUAAAUGUUGUAAAAUUUUACUACGACAAUCUUAACUGAAACCAAACCGAAUCAACUUGGACCGACAAUUUAAACGAAACUCAUAUGUAUAAAUGUAAACCGAACUAUAAAUUUAAUGUGGAUUUUUGUAUUUAGUAAUUAAAUAUAUUUGAAUAUUCAUUAAGUACCUGGUCGUAGCCUAUGUCGUUGUCUUCUUCACCGGAGAAUUCGUCGUCCGAGUCAAACGACUCGGAGGCUCGGUCCAUUACAUAUCCAAACUCCUCCUGAAGCCUAAACAUCACCUGUUGAAUCAACUCAUCAGCACGGGAGAGACAUACGGCGACGGAUUUAUCUCCGGCCAUGGAUCUCAAGUCUCCAGCCACCGCAAGUAGGUCAUCAACAGCGUCAAGGAAACUCCGCGAGUCAACGGGAUCAGACCAGAUCGGACGGUCCUCCACGAUGUAGCUAGAGAUCUGUCUCUCUAAGGAGUUAAGUGAUCGGUUGAGGUUAGCGUCGCCGCGGGAUGCCGUGGAGCCUCGAGAGUUGCUGCUUGUGUUUCCCGUGGCGCCAUAGCCGGAGAGAAUCUGUAAGAUAUCGCCGGCGGCGCUAGGGUCCUUCCCGAGAGCCCUGGCGAUGUCUCUGGCGGCUGCGUAAAGAUUCUCGUCGCCGGCUUCAGCCAUAUGAGUUUGAUUGGAGAUAAUAAUAAUAAUAAAGGUUCGUGGAAACUAGGGGGAUCGGUGGAUUAUGUGAAUAAAGACGAAACUCUUUAAGAUUAUGAAAUGGAAAAGUCUUCGGGCAGCAGAAGAAUGAGAUUAGACGCGGGAAGCAUGUCUGACUUGUGUGCUUCUGUUUGUAUUUUGAUUGAUUCUGUAUUUUUUUUAUUGCGACGACCAAGACUUUGUCUUUGUUUCAAUAUUUUUUGGGUUCGGUCUGGUAUGAUGUUUAAAUCAGAACGUGAAUGCACUUUACCAACCGCAUUAUGCGUUUUGCGUUUGUCAGUGACCCCAAAUUAAUCGUUCCAUGCAUCGUGGGAAUUGGUCAAUGGGCCAAUGACUUCGUCGUGUUGAAUUUUCGGUGUUCUUUAUAAUUAGCAAGACUUUUGUUUCCUUGCAUUGGACGUGGAAAUUAGUUAUAGGCCAAUAAACAAACAUGUGCUAAUUUUGAGAUCCAUAAUCUUUGGGCUAACGAUACUGUCGAGUUUAGCAAUUUGGUUGACAGGCCCAAUGUUUUUCUUAAUACUGUAUUAUAUACAUAGCCUAGUCUAAGAAAAUUGGGGGCCCAUCUAACAAUAUAAUUUUAUUUUCAUAAUAUUAAAAUAUAAGGAAAAGAUAUACAAAAUGAAAAAUCUAAUUAAAAAACAAAUUGUAUAAUAGUACACUUUUCCACUUAUAAUUCAUAUAAUUUUAUUAUUUAUUAUAUGUUUCAACUUUCAAGGAAAUUUUUAUCUUUAUCUUAUUAAACAGAGUAUAUAUUUUCAUAAUUGAUAUCUGAUAUAUUUAUCUACUAGUAAUAAUUUGAAAAAUAUGUAAGAAAAUGUAUAAAAUUAUAUCUAUGAUAUCAGAUGAAAUUUAUGAUAUUGUGUUAGAUUAUGUGUAAGAUCAUUUUACAUAGUUACGCUUAUCUCCAGAAGAAGAGAAACAUAUCAUAGUUACGCUUAUCUCCAGAAGAAGAGAAACGUAUCAGUUGCAAAGAAAAAAAAAGAAGAGAAACAUAUCUUACUUUUGCUUUUUCGCUUUGUGGCUCUCCUUUUACUUUAUUAAAAACCCCAAAACAAAAACCCAAAACAAUAUUUCUGAGAAAAAAUCUCAGCCAGUAGAUAUAUAACAAAAGGAUUACUCAGCAAGCAUGCAUUUGAACCCCAAGUCACGAGCUUCAUCAAACCUCCGGAGGAUCAUUGCUCCUCCUCCACCACAACCAAUGACUUCCUUUUACCUCAACUCCUUACUUCCUCUUCCUCCUUCUCAUCCCCAGAAACUCCUCGAACCCUCUUCUUCUUCCUCCUCCUCCUCCUCCUCCUCUCUGUUGAGCAUUUCCAAUUCUAACGAAGCAGCUCUGAAACCGAUCGUCAUCAACGGAGACCCACCCACUUUCGUCUCCGCCCCUUCUCGCCGCAUCAUCGCAGGUUCGUCACCAAAAAUCUAAUCUUUUUGGUAAUACGACAACAAAGCUGAGAUUUUUAAGUUUUGGGUUUUCUUACGCUACGCAUAGUUGGAGACCUUCACGGCGAUCUGAGCAAAGCCAGAGAUUCCCUUCAGAUUGCCGGUGUCUUAAGCUCCGACGGAAAAGACCACUGGAUCGGCGAAGACACUGUAUGUCCUUUUUUCCAUCACUUACUAGAAAACAAAUUCAGUUUUCUGUUGCAUAUUUAGUUCAACGGUUGAUGCUGUCUGAUACUACGCUUGUGUCGAAAGCAACCUGUUGUAAUGUUUCUGUUCCUAAAUUGAUGUUUUAAGAUCUCCUAGUGGUUUAUAACAAGAUCUUUUUGAGAUUACAGGUAGUAGUCCAGGUAGGAGAUAUACUUGACCGUGGCGAGGAUGAGAUUGCAAUACUCUCCUUACUGAGGUUACUUGACGAACAGGCCAAAGCCAACGGUGGUGCUGUUUUCCAGGUUAAUGGGAACCAUGAGACGAUGAACGUUGAAGGGGACUUCAGAUACGUAGACACGAGAGCAUUUGAUGAAUGUAUAGACUUUCUUGACUACUUGGAGGACUAUGCACAAGACUGGGACAAAGCUUUCAAGAAUUGGAUUUUCGAGUCAAGGCAAUGGAAAGAAGAUAGAAGAAAUUCUCAAACCUAUUGGGAUCAAUGGAAUAUAGUGAAGGUACUUAGAUUUUUUGCUGGUGCCUUCUCUUGACUCAAUCUAAAGAUUCUGUAUUUAAGCCGUUGGAAAAAAAAAAAAAACUAUUUAGGACAGAGGCAAAAGGGAGUGAUUGCAAGGUCGGUUCUUUUCAGACCAGGUGGUCGAUUAGCAUGUGAGUUGUCUCGUCAUGGAGUUGUGUUGCGUGUUAAUAACUGGGUGUUCUGCCACGGUGGUCUCCUUCCUCACCACGGUAUAAACAUAAUCAGUUUUAGCGUCCAGAGAUGUUUUUUUUUUCUUUUUAGAUUUGAAACUCUUUUACUUAUGAUGUGUACUUGUUUUACAGUUGCGUAUGGGGUAGAGAGGAUAAACAGAGAAGUGUCUACUUGGAUGAAGAGCUCUAGUGAUGAGGAGGAUAGUCCUGAGAUGCCGUUCAUUGCAACUCGGGGAUAUGAUAGUGUGGUUUGGAGCAGGCUUUACUCAAGAGAGACCUCUGAUCUGAAUGAAUAUCAAAUUGAACAGGCAAGUUAAAUUAUUCAUCAGUUUGGAUUGAAUGUUGUUUCAUGAGUACUUUUCUAAUCAGGUAAGUAAAAUUCUCCGGGACUCUCUUGAAGCUGUUGGUGCCAAGGCGAUGGUGGUGGGGCAUACUCCUCAGUUAUCAGGCGUAAACUGGUACAUUUGAUCAAAAACUUAUUCCCAAGAUAUCUUAAUCACAAUCUAUAAAAAAAAAUUUAAUGAAAUAUCUUGGUAGUGAAUAUGGUUGCGGCAUAUGGAGAGUUGAUGUGGGAAUGUCCAGUGGUGUUCUUGACUCUAGACCAGAGGUAUUUGUAACAAUCUUGGUACUUGAUCAGUUGCUUUUAUUAUGUCUUUGUACAAUCUCUAUUCUUAGAGAUGAUGACUGGCUCUGGUGUUGUUUCUUCAGGUUCUGGAGAUAAGAGGGGACAAAGCUAGAGUUAUAAGGAGUAACCGAGACAGACUUCAUGAACUUCAAGUUGCUGAUUACAUAUAAAAGAUCUUAAUGACAAGACACAGAGACUCAUGUCCUAGAUAUUAAGCUUGAACUUUGUACUCUUAGGCAUGAACAAAAAAGAGCAGCAGAAGUUUCAGACAAGAGCCAGAUGCAGCUGAGGUGAGGCCAAAAUUUGAACUCUAUGUAUGUAUUGUAUAUACAUGUAUGUGAAUCAUCAGAAUCAUACGGUAUUCAUCAAGUAAAAGGUUUGUAUAGCAGAACACAAAACACUAUAGUUAAUGUUACUUUUUUUUUUAAUUAUACUCUGGAGUAUUUUAUCUUUUACCAAUAAAAAGUGGAUUUUGUGAUGAUAAGUAGCUUUUACCUAUGUGCCAACACUCAGUAAGAAACAGCUUAGAUAUUAAGCCAAAAAAGAAAGAGCUCAGGUGCGGCGAUAUCAUCAGAAACUCAGAUGAGUGCGAAGAACCCAACCUUCACUUAAGCCAAUUAUCAUCACAGCUCAGAAUGCACCAGCCGGUAAUCGAACCCGGGUCUGUACCGUGGCAGGGUACUAUUCUACCACUAGACCACUGGUGCUAUUGUUAAUAACAUAAAUGUAUUAUUUGAUAUUUGUAGAUAACGUAAUAAAAGACCAUUUAAAACUAGCUAGGCACAUGUCCCACAUCUAGGUCUGGUGAAUGAGGAGGAUGGUUCACCACACACUUGGAAGUAACAUGGUUUCUGUACAACCGAAGCAAAGUCAGCCAUUCAAGUUGGGUGAUAUGGAUUUUGGUUUUCCAUAUCCAUUCAAUCCAAAGCAAAUUUAGUGGUGAAAUGAGUCAUAUAAACAAAUUUUAACUCUUGUAAAUGAAUCAAGCAGCUGUCUCAUCUCUUUGAUCUUUUCAGUUGCUAAGAACAUGCAAGCAUGUAUGUCUCACUCAGUUAUUAUUAUUGAAAAAUUUGGAAAAAAAAAACAUAGUUUUGUACACAUCAAAAUUCUCAACAUCAUCAUCAACAACACAAGCCUGGAAAAAAAUGAUCUAAAAUGACUUUAAAGAAACCCUGACAACACAAUUUUACAAAGAAAAACAAACAGAAUCGUCAAGAGCGUGGAUACCUAACUCUUAGUCUUUUUUUUCAGGCAGUGUUUGGAUCACCAUUGAAGUCCUGAAAGAAAGACUUGACACCUUCAUAAGUGGACCAACAGAUUGCUGCUGCUGGAGCAUGGAAAAGCAUUCUCGGAAGCCAUCCCCUUAGAAGUCCUCUAUAUCCAUCUUUUUUCACAAUCGUUUUAAGUACAUCGCUAAUCGAACUACUAGUGAAGCGGUCGCAUCCACACACACCCUGCCACAUUACCACAGUUGAUUGAGAGAUCAUUCCAUACAAUUUAUUUUAAAGAAUCAUGAACAUUAGCUGACUCUGAUGCUGCUGUUUUCAACUCUGUGCUAUGUCAACUAAAAGUUUUCUAAGAGACACCUAAGCUUGAGCCACUACUGUUCCAUUUACGAAAACACAAAGAAUCAAAAUAUACAUGCAAAGAAUAUGCACCUUCCGCUUCAACUAAAAAACUUAACCAUCUCAUCACUGUACACUUUGAUUCAGCUCCUUCUGGAUCUUCCCCAUAAGAUCACAUAAUAAAACGAAACAAACAUAUAUUUUCCAUUCCAUAAAUGCUAUGCUACAUCAACAUAAGCUUACAUAGUAAGACCUGAGUUAACGAUAACUCAAUUGGGAAAUGUCAUUGCCACACACUCUACCCUAUACUUACACAAACCAGAAACGUACUGGUUGAAACAUCUAACCAUCGAAACCAAAUAACUGCCCCUUAAGAUUCUUUCAACGCCAAGUUCUAUGUGAAUGUCAAAAGCUAGAGAAGCUUAUGGUGCAGCUCUAACACAUGAUUACCAUCAACUUACACAUAGUUCUUUGCAUCUAAUCACGUUCCAUUUCUACCCAAAGUUUUAAUCUUUUAGAGAUUAUAGACAAAGAGCAAUCAACACUAAAGAGAAGGAAUCAUUCUAUUUCUACCUGACACUGCAACUGCGUCUUGACAACAUCAAGCGGCGUAGUGACAGCCGCCGCUAACCCACCAGCAGCCGCUCCGGCCGUAGCGUGAACCAACCAACCUUCCUCAUCGCCAACUCUCUCCGGCGAAACCUCCACCAACGCCUUCUUAGCCGCCUCGUAAGUAGCGAAAUGAACAGCAGUAAAAGGCGCGUUCAUCAGAACCGUCGUCCUAUAAGAAGCGUAGAACGCACCAAACCCUUCCUCCCUCAUAACCCUCCUCACGCAGUCCCACACCCCUCUGUAAGUCCCUUCCCCCAUCUGCAGCCUCUGCUUCACCAUAUCCAUCGGCGUAAACACCGCGUCGCUCGACACCGUCGCGAACACCCCGGAGGCGGCGUGCGCGGCGGAGUUGUUCGAAUCCGAGGAAAGGAACUUUUUGGAGACCUCGUAGAAGGAGAAGUAAACGGCGUGGGCCGGGCCUGCGCCGAGGCCCAUGGCCCAGAUCCCGCGGUAGAGCGCGGAGGGUCCUUCCUUCUGGAUGAUCGAGCGGAAGGCCUGCCGGAUCCCGACGGGCUUUAAAGGGCAGGGGCGGAGGGCUUGCAUGUGGGUCUUGAUGGUGUCGACGGGGAACAUCGCCAUGUGCUCCACGGAGCCGGCGAUCGAGCCGGCGAUCAUGAAUUGCCAGAACCGGAGACCGUCGUGUGCGGUUUCCGGUUUGAAUUGGGAGACCGGUCGGAGGUCCGGGUCUUGGAAUUUGGACGCGGUUGUGGCCUCCGUAGCCAUUUUAGGGCUUAGAUCGGGAGUGGCGGCGGAGAUGAAAGUUAGGGUUUUCCGAAAAUGCUGGAGCGAUGGUUACGAAAAGAGGGAUGUGAAUAACCGAUAAGGAGAGACGGCGGUUAUACGGAUGUAAAGGGGAGGAUUGGUUUGUCGUUGACUACAUCAUCAUAUCAUCUUACUUUUCCUUCUUUUUUUUUUUUUGUCUGAAUCCUUCAUUUCAAAAUGUUUGAAUGUUCAGGUGGAGAAGUCGGAAUAGGAUUCUGUUGUGACGUUGUUGGCUUUCAAGCAAUUACUAUUCUAUUCAGACCAAAAAUGUGUUUUUUUUUUUUUAGGUUAAUCUGGUCUCUCUGUUGGGCUUCUCUUUUUUUUUUGAAAAUGUUUGUGGAUCCCAAAAGCCUGACAGAAAGAACGAGACUUUGUGUCCAUCAUCUGUUUUGUAUGAGUUCGUAGUAAUCAACUUGGUUUUACAUUGUAUGAAAUGAUGUCAAGAAACAUACAAGAUAUUUUAGUUGGGAGGUUUUGGAUUAGUUAUUGUUACUGAUUAAAGACAUUACAAACAGUUUCAGCUCUUAUUCUUUACAUGUAAAUGUACAAGGCAUGAUGGAAUUUAUAUGGUGGCUGAAGCUGUGGCUAUUUUGCCAUCAGCCGGUUCGUCGGGAAAGCUGCUCCUGAUUUGUGCUCUCGAAGAUCUUGUCUGCAUUUCCCACCUCAAAUCCAUCUCUUCUAUGAAACUCUUUUAUCUGCGUUUUAAUAAGUGGUUAACUCACAAUGUUGAUACAAAGAUAUGAAUCAGCUUUAUAUAGUAACAAAGGAGUUUGGAACACAAAAUGCCAAUGAUUUUCACCGUAAUCGCGAGUUGAGAUAUUCAAUAAGAAUGUCACUUACAUCGCUUUCGGGUACAUUCUGAAACUGGGGAAGCACAAGGCGUUCAGCAAACUCAAUGUAUGAACAAGGGAUAGAUUUGGUGACUCCAUCAGAGAACUUGAAAGAAAUAGAGUCUGCCACAGUGGAGCUUUGCAGCAAACCACCAUCAGGACUAACUGCGAAAAUGAAAAGAGACAGUAUGUCUCAGUCAGUUGUUUGCAACCCCCAAUCAUCUCUAAUUUCUUUUAAACAAGGAAUUAAGAUUAGCUCAUGAGUUUGGUGCUACUAAACCUUUAAGGACUCCUCCUUCAGAGUUCAAUUUGAAACCUUUUUCUUCAAGGAACUGAUUGAGCUUCUUAAUCUUGUUUAGAUGAGAUUUAAGCCGAUGGACAGAGAUAGUCACGUGGUUAAGUGCAUAGCCAUUGGCAAGCGUCCAUGCUGCGUAUUCACUUUCCCUAUAGAUUAAUUUAAACCCAACACACCAUCAUUUAUGAGUCAAUACUAUUGUCUUGAUAUAGCAAAUAAAAUAGCAAACCAGGAGAAAGUAAAACAUGUAACUAACCAAACAAACUCAGAAGAUUAAUUUAAACCCAACACACCAUCAUUUAUGAGUCAAGAAUCUAGAAAAUUCAAUAGCAAACCAGGAGGAAUUAGAGCAUGUACCUAGCCAACUGUUCAAACUCAGAAGAUAGGGGCUUUUCCCAUGGUAAACUACCCAAAGCACUAGAGAGAGCAGCAUACUUUCUCCCAUUAGGCGAUGUUUCAGUGUAUCUCCUGAUCACAUCCUGGAAAACAAGAGAACAUACUUACUUUACUUCAAAACUCAUACAAAACAAAACAACCAUAGAGGGUCAAAACAAUGACAGUCUAUGUAUAUACAUACCUGAGUCUGUGUACUCAUCUGUUCGACAAGGAGCUCUGAGAUAAAAACUCUCGGUAAAGGACCAUCUACACCACUUCCACCAGGAACAGCAGAAGCAUGAGGAGGCGCAAACCACAAAGCUCUCAGCUUUUUGGCAGGAAACCUCAGCUCAUCCAUUUGGGUAUACCCAUAGUCAAGGAAGAAGCUUGCAAGCGAGUCAAUCCCAUAACCGCCAAUCUAACCACAUAUUACAAAACACAGAGACAAGAUAUACUUUAAACUUUUGUUCAAACGUCGGAAGCAAAUAACCGAUAAAGGAAAGUCAGAGACUUUAUACCCCAAAGGUCCUGAAAGCGAGAUGAUCAUAGCAAAGCUGCUCGUCAUCAACGGAUCUGACAAGCUCCAAGACUGAUCUAGGCGUCGGGUUCCGGUUUAGGUAAACCGUUUCCAUCUGUCCUAAAACGCUUCUGAAAAACGGUUCAGCGACCUGAUCGAGAAUCAAACCGGGAAACGUAAACAAUCACGGCCUACAUCGAAAAAACUAAGAAGUACGAAAUUAGAACGGACCUGCGAGGACGAUCCGUGAGAAUCUCUAUUCGUUGACAUCGAGACACCACCAGAAGCAGCGGGUACGGAGUGAUCUCGCUUCACGAGCCGGAUAUGAGAUCCAACGGAGAGUGGUGGUGGUGGUGAUCGGAGAGGAGGAAAGGAAGAAUGAAAAGAGGCUUUGAUGGUAGAGGAGGAGUAUAGAGAGAGCAUAGUGGAGGAGAUUCCUUGGUUUUUCCGUCGGAAAGCUUUUAAAACUAUGAAAGAUGACAUCUUUUUAUGGAUUGGACAGACACAGGUUCCGUGUGAUUCGUCUUCUUCUUUCUCACAGAGAGUCGUGUCGUGUCGAAUGUGUUUACAAAUGUGUAUAGUCUAAUCACAUCUGAUGUGUCGACAUAUAUUUUCAUCUGAUGUGGCGACAUCAUCUUUCGCAUUUAUAUAUUUUCUUUCUGGGAAGAAGAAACUACUGACCUGCGUUAUGUACUGUACAUCCGAGGUUUCUGGUUAGACCCACCACAAAAGGUGUGAAUAUAAAUCAUAAUACGAUGGGCUCAUGGCCCGGCCCAUAAUAUGUCACCGUAUCAUAUAAAUUUCAUCAAAAAGCGUCUGCUGGGAUGGAACUAUUUUGGAAUGGAUAAUGUUAAUAUUAGGGGAUAUUAUAGAUGGAGAAUGGGCUUAUUAUCUAUAGUUUGGGUUUAUUUUAAUAUAGUGACCAAGGGUAGGCUUCGUGUAUGAGUUAGAGAUGAAAAGAUGAGGAAGAAAAGAAAGAAUCGAAAGCAGUAAUAUAUAGUAGCUCAAGAGCAUCAAAUAUAUAUUCCUCAUUACAGAUCGGAAUUAUAGGUGCAUGCACAUGCACUCGUAGUCCUUCAUCUACAUAAUUACAUCACUAUAUUGUUUGAAUGCAUGCACUUUAUAUCGUGAGAUUGUGUAAAUUAUAUUCGCGAAGGAGAUAUUUACAGUUUAAGUAGAAACGAUGUAGCAAGGUAACUUAUCGCAUUGUCAAAACACUUUUUAUCUGACAUUUCAGAUGCCGUUCACUGACUGUAACAUGAAGUUUACAUACGUUGAAACAAAGUUGGCACUUGGCCCCGACAUAGGAUUGGUUAGUUUUUGACUCAAACAUGUGGCGAACCCUUUUCUAGACUUAGACCCCACCAAUCUCGAUAAAGACUUGCCAUAAACGUCCUCUUCAUGUAAUCUUCCACUCCUUUACUUAAAAGAUAUUUUUGCAUCUCUUUUAUUCGCGAAGGAGAUAUUUUUCGUUUCAAAUUUGACAAAGUUGUAAAAGUUGAUAAUGAUAUGUCACAAAAACACAAAUAAAAUGUGAAAUAAUAAUCGUCAUAAUAAUAAUAUAAUACUAAGAAAAAAGACGCAUCGAAGAUUGGAGAUAUUUUUCUUCCAGAUAUUUAUUUCCCCUUUUAAGUCUCCCUUCUCACGAACCGACCCUACAAAUAAUUCAAAAGAAACGUAUCUCAAGAAAAUUCAUAAGAAAAAUAAAUAGAGUUUAAAGUUCUCUAGCACAGAUCAGUUAAAUAUGAAAAUAACAAAGAACUAGUUAACAUUCAUUGAGUUUAGGCGAAGAUGUAGAGAAAAGGACACAAGAGAGAGACACCUUGAAACGAGGUCGUUUAUCAGCGUUGAGUUUUCGGACUUGAUACCUUAUCUUCUUAGAGAAGAGCCUACUCUGUCUCUUCUCUUUGUACCUUAACACACUCGCUUCUCUUCUCAUGUUUCUCUCUUCAUCCAUCACCGGCACUUCACCCCUCUGGACACACUCUAAACCGUUAAUACUAGUUCAUCAAGAUUACAUCACUAUCCAUAACUUGCACAGCAAGUAAGAGAUUUUAACACAAACUCACAUAAAGGGCAUUGGCCGGAGCCAGUAGCAUUGAGGUAUCUGUCCACAGAGGCUGCUGUCGGCGAUCAGACCAAGCAUCAAUAACUUCUUGAUGGUUCAGAUUCAGCUUCAGACCCAACUCUCUGUCUUCAUAAUCCGUCGACAUAUUAUCCCAAAACCCAGAACUUGAGCCUUCGUGAUCAGUACUCAAACUCUUCUCUUCUUCCUUCACAUCUUCUUCUUCAUCUUCUUCUUUCCAGAAAUUCCAGUUGAGCUCAUGAGAGCAGCUUAAACUGUCAAUGUUCAUGUCGAAAAUGCGGUCGAAGCCAUCGACAGAAUGAUAGUGUUGCUCUCGAGAGAAAGCGUUAAUGGAGUCGAAGAUUGAAAAAGGUUUAUGAUCAGCCACUUCUUCUUCUUGCUCUUCUUUCUUUGGUAACCUUUGUGUAUCCAUGUCUUAUCUUUUCCUCCACUCCUUUUUUUUUUCUUAGUCUAUCCGAGCAUCAUACCGAAAACAUAGAUAUAUACAUAGAUAUUAUUACAGAGCUAGGUUCCUUUUUAAUACUUUUGUAACAUGUGAUGUAAUUUGAUUCGACGUGGCGUCUUAUCCCAAAAGUGACGGGAUAAUACCAAGCUGAUUGGCUUCGAGAGUCCAGCUUGGAAUGGGACCUCUCUUACUGCUCCUUUGGAGUUCACUAGAGACCAUUUCAUUUCAGCCUUUUUUCCACGUUAUACUAGUAGCCGAAUAAAGGAAAGCUUCUUUUCUGUUUUAUUAUAGAUACAUGUAUCUAAAUAAUAUAUAAGUAUUCAAAAUAUCUACGGAAACACUUAUAUAGCAUGUUUAUGACAUGAAGCAAAUGAUUUGGUUGAAAAUAAAUAAAAAACUAGCUCGCCUGACUUUACUUAAAUUAGAUGCCAAAAAGGGUAAAAAUGAUUCACGCGCAUCAAUGCGGUUAAGCUUCAUAUGUUCUUCUUUGAACACAAAGUGAUCUUUAGUAACAACUAAGUUGUAAUGUUUGAUAAGAAAGCUGACCUGUAUUUGAAUGGUCAUGAUGAAGUAUCAAACGAACAUUGAGGUUUGUAGCACCAGUUGCAUCAAAUACAGCGAGAGUGUGGUUCCAAAUCUCGAAUCAUCUGAGUGCUACGUAGAUGCUGUAACAUCCUUUCAUUUCGCUUAUUGAUUCCUUCUCUGAACAAAUUGCUACCUGUGGAAUCUAGAUUUUUCAUGGGUCUUGUUUCCCUGCUUAGUAUCCUGAGUUCCUUGCUCCUCAAGUACUCUGCACCUUGUGCCUGAACUGUUUGUGAAUUGAAAAUUACUCAGAUACACUAUGUUAAAGUUUCUAUCCAUUCAUAUAAAUCACCAACCAGAAGAUUUUCAAGAUCGUAAUGUACAGCUCAAUGAAUCCUCCAUAACAGUUACAUUAAAAUGAAGGCAAAUGUGUAUAAUUUCAAAAUCAUAUUCUAUGCCUGAAUUCACGGCGAGACGCUAUACUAAAUGAAAGGGGGUAAUGUGAAACUCAUUCAGGUUGAGAGAGUUUAAGACCAAUAUUUUUUCAAACAAAAUGAAUUGAAAUGACACGGUAAAUACUAUUAUUUGGGACUAGAGAUUUUGCCCGGGCUACGCCCGGGUUUAUUCAAAUAACAUUUAAUUUAAUAUUUCUUACAUUAUAUUACUAAUAUGUUAUAAAAAUUGAAUUAGAAUCGAGUAAAAUUUACAAUUUUUUUACUAUCUAAAAUUGUAUGGAAUUAUCCAAAAUAUAUUUUUGUAUAUCAAUUAGGGGAGUUUUUAAUAUAUUUUAGUCCAAAACUAUGAUCCAAAAACAUUAUUUUCUUAUUACUUUUUUAUUUCCAGUAAAAACAUUCUAAAAUCUUGUACUAAUAUCACAAAUUGAAAAUACAAAUUAUUUCUAAUUCGAUAUAACCUUAUUGGGGGUGACUGGUGACCAAGAGAAUGAGGAGAAGAACACAACAUUCCUUAUAAAAAUUACCAUUUAUGAGGUAUAGCUGUGCAUCUUCGCUCCUUUUCAUUCUCUUUUUUUUUUUGUAGAGAAUGAUAAUACAAAAUUGUUUCUUGUUAAUUUUGAUAAAAAACCAUCAUUUCUCAUCAUUCUCAAAAUUUUAUUCCUAUUCAUUAUUUUCUUAUUCAUUCUUAAUGUUCUUGCGAUGGUUACCAGUCAUACUCAUUAUUUUAAUUUCCAUUGAAAAAAUAGUGAUUUAGUUUUUUUUCUUACUUCGUGUCUUUAAUAUUUUUUGUUAAAGUUCAUACACUAUAUUACAAAUAAUGUUGUAUUUAAUAACUAUAUUACAAUAUAUUACUUCUAUGUUAUAAAAAUAUAAAUAGAAAUUGAAUCAGAAAUGAGUAAAACUUACAAUUUUUUUUUAAUCCAAAAUAUUUUUUCUUACAUAUUUAGGUUAGUAGGAAAAUAUAUUUGUAAUCUCCACAUCACAUAUUUCUUUGUUAUAUGUAUUAUUUAUAUCAUAUUUAUUUUUUUUAUUUUUAUGUUAUUUAAUAUUUUAUAAUAUAUUUUAUUAUUAUUAUAAUCUAUUUUUACAACUGUACUAAGUAAAGCUUAUUUAAAUACUCAUUGCUUUAAAUAAAAAACUUCUAAAAUUUUUGCAUGUGCUAAAUACACUGAAAAAUCUAUGAAAAUAUUAUUAUUACUAUAUUUUUUCCAGCAAUUAUUAUUACUAUAUUAUUUGUUUAGUUAUAAGCAAAAACAAAUCUUAGAAUCUAGCUAUAGCUAAAAUAUUAAUCUGGAUUAAAACUCAAUGUAAAGUGAUAAUCAAAAUAUUCUCAAUAUAUAUUCACAAUUUAUUUAAAUUUUAUUAUUAUAUAUUAGUUGAUUUAAAAUUACUAUUUUUUUUAAAUACAAUCAGGUUAUUACGCUGUUAUCAAACAUGAAUUUUUGUAUACUAAUUAGAGGAGUUUUUUGUAUACUAAUUAGAGGAGUUUUCAAUAUAUUUUUAGUCCAAAACUAUGAUCCAAAAACAUUAAUUUCUUAUUAUUUUUUCAUUUCCAGUAAAAACAUUUAAAAUAGUGAUUUUGUUUUUUUUCUUACUUCAUGUCCUUAAUAUUUGUUUUGUUAAACUUCAAACACUAUUUUUAAAAAACUUUCUUUACUUUUUAUGAACAGAAAUUUUAAAAUGUCUGUUAGCCGUUAUUGUCUAAUGUGGUACACUAUAUCCCAUUGUAAAAUAUAUUAUUAGUUAGGUGUAUUACAAAUAUAGUUCGUGGAAAUAAAUCUAUAAGAGUAAGCAAAGACUUAUAUAAAAUUAGGUAUGAAUUUAAGAUAAAAGUAAACAUAAAAAAUAGAAUUAUUGUUUUCAUAAUAUAAAUGAUGAAUAUAAGAUAAAACGAAACAUAGGUGACAUAAUAAUAAAAUAUAAAAGGAACAAAUUCUAAGGAAACAAAUCAGUUAUUUAUGAUAUAUAUAGUCAUAACUGAUAGGGUUUAGGCCACAUGAAUUGAGUCAAUCAAAUAUAUUCCAUGGUGAAAUUAAGAGGAAAAAUCCCUACAAUAUCGUAUAUAAUUUUAAAUUGGUCAUAAAAAUUAUCUAUAAAUUAAUACUAACUUUUCUAUAUUAACCGAAACCAGAUUGCACUAAUUGUGUAUAUCAGUUUCCUAAAUUUUAUCUACUGCAUAAAUUACGGUCAAACGUAAAAUUAGCAAAAAAAUCAAAUAAAUUAAAGAAAAAAAUAUUAUCGGAUUUGAUAUUAAAAGACCCCAUAAAGUCAUAUGAUUUGAUUGUAUUUCUGUAUAUCGUUUCUCCAUCCAAAACAACAUAUGAUUUGUUGUAUUUCUAUAUAUUAAGAGGAGGAUCAAAUCAUAUGUUUCACCAUUUACGUGUAUGAGUGUAUCCGAAGAUACCUUUGACUAAACUUUAAGUUACGUAAUCAAGCACCUCUUAAUAUGUCGAAAUAUUUUAGAACGAAAGGUUGAAAUAAUAAUUAUUUUCUACAUUGUAAGAAUACAACAAAUCCAUUAGAGCUCAAGUGAGGGAAAGCUCUCAGAUGCCAUAACCGAGUCUUCCUACGUGGAGUGUUAGUUAAAGAAGGGUUGAGCUUCUAUCCUCUUUUUUUUUUCCUUCCCGUGAAGGUUUCUUGCUUGGCAUCUACUGAUGGUUUUUGCUUUCUCAUUGUUGUUUUUCUCAAACUGGUACCUGGUUGUUAUUUCCCCAGCAAGCUUUUGUCUUGCACGUUUGAAUAAAAGUAUUCAUUGAUAAAAAAAGAAGAAUACAACAAAUCAUAUGUUCCACCAUGUACGUGUAUCAUUAAGUUUGUAACAGGGAUUAUACUAUUUAGACGGCAGAAAAAAAACUAUUUAGACAACCUUGAUAUCAAAAUACCUAUUUGACCUGCAAGAAAUAGGUGAGAGUUUUGUUCUUGAGGAAGAUAGAGACAUUAUAUAUAUAUGUAGACAAAGCAAGGAUUAUUGUUAUUUAAGUGUAUAUAUUUCAAGUAUUUAUAGUUAUAUAAGUAAACGUGUCCUUCAACUUCACAUAUUUUGAAACUAUUUAUUCAAAACAGUUUCAGAAUGAGAUAUAAUGAUGAGGCAUAUAAUAUAUGAACAUUAUAGUGGCAUGAAAGGUAAAUAUUCUAGGCAAGGAUGGACUUUUAAAAUAAUGCUCUAACUUUUAAAUAAUGCUCUGAACUGGAGUGUGAGGAUGACACCUAAGCAAUGGCAUAGUUAUAAAUCACACAUGAAGUUAAUGUUUGUUUUAAAAUGAUCUCCUCAAAUAAUAGAAAGGGGAUUCUGUCCAAUUGAAGUAUAAAUAUUUCUAACCUAAUUCAACCAAAUCAUGUUUAUUGUAUUCAUUGCAUUAUUUUGGUUUUCAUCUUAGAUGUGUAUAUAUAUAUUUAUGAAUUGGCUAGUUGUAAAUAGCCAUAGGACUAUGUCAAUUUUAUAGGACUUAGUAAUUUGGUAUAUGUUAAUUUUCAAAAAUAAAAUUAUAAAAAUAAAGUGAUGACAACUACAAAAUUGUAUAAAAACAUAAUCGAUACAUUCUAAAAAUGAAUAUUAAUUCUUUACUUCAAUAUCAAGAUUAUUUUUCAAAACUUUCCUUUUUAUGAAGUCACAUUUUAUAUAAAAAAUAUUUUCGUUUUAAAGUUUUCUAAAUAUUUUAUUUAUCAUAUAUGUUACUUGAAAAAUAUAAAGAGAACAUAAAAAUGAUUAAAUUAAUUUUUCUUCAUUAAAGCUAUCUUAGUUUAUGUUUUUAAAUUAUUUGAUUUAAAUAAAAUGCUUAAUAUUUUAUAUUAUGUUGUUUGAGAUUAUUUUUAAAAGGGAAGAUUAUUUCUUUACUUUAAAAUCAAUAUUAUUUUGUGAACUUUCCUUAUUAUGAAUUACACUAUAUAUAAAAGAUAUAAUCAUUUUUUAAAUUUAUAAAUUUUCUUGAUUAUAUAGGUUAUUCGAAAAGAAAAAGAAAAAAGAAACCAAAAUAAAAGGGAAAAAUAUAAUAAAACAAAUAUCUAAUAAUAAUAAUUAUAUUUACAGUAUAUAUAUUUGAUUCAUUAAGGGUAUCAUCGUAAUCAACCACCAUGAGAGGUAACAUGAACACGACACAUAGGAAACUAACUUCUCAAAUAAUAUUAUAGAGAUUUAAAAAUAAGCGUUUCUACUGUUUUUAUUUAAGUUAAUAAUCCUGAUUGUUUUUAUUUAAGUUAAUGCUGAUUGUUUACUAUAUCUGCAUAAUUUUUAACCACGUGUCUUUUAGUUUAUCACUAGUGUUUGUAACACAACAUAUGAUGCCCAUUCACCCAGAUCGGUUAUGGAAUAUUUUGACUUUGUGUUUACAUUGCAAAUGCAUGUCGAGAUAAGAAAAACAUAAAUAAUGGAUAACAGUUAAUGCUUUAUUGAAUUAGAGCAUAUAAAAUCUUUCUCCUAGCUUCCAAGUUUUACUUUGUUAGUAUUUGAAAUGACAUAUAGAUGUCCGACAAAGAAAUAUAAGACCGCAUAUAAUAUGAACAUAUAAUCUUUCAUGUGACAAUGAUUUAACCAAAGAAUCACUUUAGCUUAAUCUUAAGACAAAAUUUCCUUCAUGUCUUCUUUCUUAGUCCCUAUACCUCUUUCUCGUCUGUAGACUAUCAUUUUCAAGUCUGCAUGUCAGACCAAAAUUAGCUGAGAAAAUAUAUUUUCUAUCCAAAUGAGAAAAGGAUAAGUUGUUUAAAAGAAACAAAAAGAGAGUUUCAUCAGUUCAAGAAUGAUUUAUUUGUUCAUGGCUUGGCUCAUGUCCUCAGCCGUACUAUGGUAUAUAUCAUGGAAACCUUGCUCAUAGACACAUGCAUCUUCAUAGAUCUUUUCAUCCUUAUCUUAAGCAUUCAAAACCUCUGGAGCUAUAAGAGGAACAUACUUCUUUAGUUCAGCUUGUAUAAGUCUUUUCCCAGCUUAGAAGAUGAAUACACUGAUCUCUUCGAAACCACUACAUAUGAAAACUGAAAAGAGGACUAAAUGAGAAGUGAUAGCCUUGGCUUUGCUAGUGUAAUUUAAGAUUAGCUUUGGCUUAGAGUUAAGCAACUUCUUGAUCUUUACACAAACUUAAAGUUCCCAAAGCGCAGCUGCAAUCCACAUUGCUAAGACUGUCAUUACAUGAAAAUAUUAGUCCAAGACAAAAGAAAACUUUGCAGUUUCAGGGUUUGAAAUAAGCUGAUGCCAAAAACUGGUUCCUGGUCACGGUUGGUUGAUUUUGAUCAUGUUGGUUUCUAACAAAGCUUGAAGAGCUAAUAAAAUUUUUAAAAGGAUAAUAGCAAUGAUACCGGAGAAAGGCGGCACACCGAAAUCAGGCCCUGAGCCAGGUAGCCAAAACUCUGUUCUUCUUACAUGUGAAUCAAAUACAAAGACACAAAAUCAGUAAAAAUAAACAAUAAAAUAGAAAGCAUUGCAGGUUAAGGGGAAAUAAUAAUCCGAGUGGUGGUACCGCAACAUGACAAUGUUGGGAGAAUAUGGGAUAAUCAAUAAUAUUUAUAACGAUUAGCAAGAAACUCAGAAAUACUAAGAAAAUAGCUUACAUAAAGAGAAUCGGAGUACUGGAAGGAAUUUUUUGAUGAGCAAGAGUAAAGACAGAGUCAGUGUUGAAGUGUUCUUGUAGCUCAACAUCUGUUCUUGCAAUCUAUGUCAAAAUGUAUCUCAUGUCUUUAAGAAAAAGGUUACUAAAAAGUUGGACACGCACCUUCCUUGCUACUUUGGGUUCUUCAUUUUUCUAUCAUCUAGGAUUGAGAAGUACACAGUUUGACUCAUAAGGUCAAAGAUGUAGCCUAUGAAAUUUUUUUUUCUCUAUAUGAAUGAAUAAAUGGGCUUCCUUGGUGGAAGUUACCUUUGCAAUACAACCAUCUCCGGCUGCAGAAAGAGAGACUCUUUUCAUCUAUCUUGCUCAGAUUCUCAUGCACCCAGUGUAGAACCGUUGAUGCAGAACCCAUCCGGUCAACCGAUCAUUUGUUUUUUUUUUCACGAGGUAAACAAACUCUUUCCCUGCAGAGAAAAAUAUAUAUCUUAUUUCAUUAAAUUUGCAUCCAGCCUGAGCUCAAACUUCCACUGCAAGUGACUUCUUUUAAAGCACAUAUUGCUAUACACAAUUAGGGCAUGAAACAAAAUAUCCAGUUAGGUUAAACAAUGAGGAUCGAAAAGAUAGAGAUCAUUGAUCGUUACCCGAACACUCCUACAUCGGACAAUUUUACCAAAGGGAACCUAAAACAGUAGCAUAUGUUGUCAAUAAACAUAUACAGCCAUGCUAUUCUUCAAUAGAGGAACAAAAAACUAUCUAACGAAUCCAUAUAUUUUCAGGAAAGCUAACCCUAAAUUUCAAUUCACAGCUUAUAUCAGCAAUCCAGGAAUCAAGCAAAAAUUAACCAAAAUGAGAUUUUCUGACUCUUAAACUUAAAAAUAAACAAAAGAUGAAGAAAAAACAAAAGGAAGACCGACUCCGACCAUAACAGCCGAGACAAAAGAUCCAACAUCAGUGAGAAAAAGCACAAAGAUCCGAUUGUGACAGUUUCUGAAACUCGGUUGAUGAAGGCGAGAACACAUGGGUUACGAUGUGGUUGAGAUUCUACGAAAGAAGGAGCGGCGGAGGGAACGGUUUGGGAAGUGGAGAUUGGGAGGAUAUGAGAGUCCGUGGAAUCCAUUGUUGCAGAGUUUGCAGGUCUGAGAGAGAAAAUAUAGAAGAUGAAGACAUUUACAUUAAUUAAAGGAAAUACAAAACGACGCAAUAGAAAUUUAACUCAGAGAUUUUCCAUGACGAUUCGUUUCACUCCACAUCGUGAAAGUCAAUUGACCAUCGAUCGUUUGUUUGUGAAGAACAAAUCGAUCAUCGGUGCAGAGCAUGGAACCCAAACUACAAAACCAAAGACCACAAAAGCCCAAACCGCGAUUCUAUUGUCUGACGUGGAGGAAAUGCUGCAACGUGAUUGGCUGAAUUUUCAGUCUGACGUGGAGGCCUUAAGAGGGCUUUAUUUGCUCCUUUUAGUAUAGGAUAGAUAUCCACGACGAAAGCAAGGCAAAAUGUAGUUGAACUCUGUUCGACGCAAUGAACUAUAAACAACACACGGUAAAAAUGAAAAUACCUGAGUGUGAAGAUGUCAACGACGCAGCUGAAUCCCUUAGUCUCCUUACACUCUCAGCAGCAUCCAAAGUUUCAGAAUACUCCUCUGAUGUUGGUUCAAUCAGACUAUCCCUCUUAAGGCCCAGCAGCGCAUUUUCGGAGGCCUAGGUCAACGUCAGAACAAUGUCAUAUACCGUCACAGUAAGUCAAAAGCAAAAUAAGCAAUGAGAGAUAACCAAACUGAUCAUUACUUCCAUACGGUAAAAGUAAUCGAGAAAAUUAGCAGUGCAAUAUUCUGAUUGUUCAAGCAUCCAAGCUAACAAUUGCAUAGGAAGGAAGCUCAUUUUUCAUUGAGCAUGUUAAGAAUCUUUAAGCCUUCCCUCUUUUGCGCUAGUAAAAGCAACGAGCUCAUGUAUUUACAAAAGGGAGACUAGUUACCUUUCUAGCAAUAGAAGGGAAUCCAUGCUCCAUAGACUGGACUGCAAAGCUGGUCCACUCCGUAUGUGAAACUCUUAACCACAAACAGCUUGUGGACUUGAUCUCCCGCAAAGUCAAUGCCUCAUACUUCAUAGCUAAACAGCUCUAUUCAACACAUAACAACAGAUCAUAACAUAAGCAAUUCGAGAAAGUAGCACAAAUCAUCUCCAGUUGUAAUCAUGAACGGUAAACGAUUAAGCUGAGUACCUCAAUGUUAAUUUUUAGUUUAUUCAGAUCUAAAAGAGCUUUAGACACAAACCUCCGUAUCGCCGAUAAGAGCGAAAGCACGAGCGAAGAAUUCGAGUACUGAGAGCUUCGCAACGACGGAUUCUCCAGCGAGCUCGCUGAAUAUGACAGACGAUUCAGAUCUCAUGAAAUCUCCCAGUCGGGAUCGAAGAUCGGAAAACGAUUUCGCGUUCGUUGCAACCAGAGACAGCUCGAGAAUCCGAAGAGACUCUUCAUCGAACCUGCGAAAUUUAACGAGAAUAUAGAAUAUAGAAUCGGUUUAAUAGAUUUCAGAGGAAUAUAGGAGGAAACGAAAGAACCUUCGAUCAUGAAUCCGAUUGAGAAAGAGAUAACUCUGAUCAGCGAUCGUCGCCUCUGACAUUCUUCUCAGUGAGUAGUGGUUGGGCGCUUCAAAUCUUCUCUCAGUGUAACCUUUGAUUUUGAAUCAUACGGCGCAUUUUAAGAUGGAGACAAUUAAUAAAUGGGCUGUGAAUACAUUUUAGAUUUACUAUAGGCCCGUUAUGUAAAUUAAAGGCCCAUUAAUACUCGUUCAGAUAUUAAAGGUUUCGCUGGGCCUGUACUAUGAAUCUCUCUGUCCGUACUGUUCUUCCUUCAUAGUUAACCACCUCACAAAGCUUUUUGAGGAUGGUCUCAUAUCAGUCGUGGACCUUCAUCUGUCUCCCUGGGGCAACUCCAAGCUCCGCUCCGAUAAUGUCACCGUCCUUUGCCAGGUCUUUUCUUGCUUUCUUUCUAUAAUAUAUUGUUGCUAUUUGUUUGCAGCACGGUGCGUAUGAAUGCUUCUUGGACACGGUAGAAGCUUGUGCGAUUGAUGUUUGGCCUGAAUUGGUAAGUGGGAUGGAUGAUGAGAUCUGACUGUUGAGUUCACAUUUGAAACAAAGUUUUACUCUUUUUUUAGCAUCAACCUUCUCUUGAUAAAUGGUUAAAUGGUGACGCUUUCGUUUGCAGAGGGAUCAUUUCCCGCUCAUCUACUGUGUUAACGUUGAGAGUUUGGUGAUUGAGCACAAGUACAAAAAGUGGGAGACUUGUUAUGAGAAGCUCAAUCUGAACUCAAAACCUGUUGCGGAUUGCCUCAGCAGUGGACAUAGAAAAGAGGUUAGUUCCUUGGCUUGUGUUUAUAGACAUAACGAUUCUGCAAUGGUGUUGUUCUAGUUGAGGAAAGAACAUAUGAUGAUGUUCUGAGCAGUUUUUAUACUUUCAUAGACUCACUUCCAUGUUAGAUAUGUUUUGUUUUGAAGCUUCUACGUUAUGAUUCACAGAUAUAUGCGUUCUUUUCUAAUCUUCUUUUCACUUGCUCCAGCUUCAGUUGCAGUAUGCUGCGGAAACGAGUGCACUUGAGCCGCCUCAUAAGUACGUGCCAUGGGUAGUCGUGGAUGGUCAGCCACUUUAUGAGGUUCGUUUACUAUGUUUCUUUUUUUUUAACAUGAUGAUUUCUUACUGUGGCUAAUCCACGCUCUCUUAUUCUCUUUGUAUGAAUGAUAUUAUCUAUGUUCACUUAGCAUUCAUUCGGACUUAUGACUAAUUUGGAAUUUGGUUGUGCAACACUUUGGAUUUAGUGUCUCCUAGGGAAUUGGAUCAUCUUCACGCAAUAUAUUUCCUCAGAGUUAUGGUGGAACGUAAUUUCUAGUUACCUAGGCUAAUGAGAAAGACAUGUUUUAUAGGGGUAUCUUAGAUUAGUGUGGAUUUGGCUAUCAUUUAUAUUACUUUAUGUGAUAUGGAUGUUGCAGUUACCAAAAUGUGGAAUCUUCUUGUCCUGUGUAUUAGAUGGGCCUAUGGCAGUUCAGAAACAGGGAACAUUUAUAUGUAUGGGUUUGUUCUUGAUGUUUCUUGGCUUUGAACUUACCUCAGUAUGUGUUCACUGCAGGAUUAUGAAAACUUCAUAAGCUACAUCUGCAAGGCUUACAAAGGUAAUAAAGUGCCUGGCGCGUGUGACAAAUAUUCUUCCAUUGGCAUUCUCAAAGUGAAUCGCUUCCCUCUGGUUUGCUGGAAAGGAGUCAAUACGAUGUGGGAUUUGUUGGAACCUAUCAAAACCUUCGUCACAGGCUUGCUAUAAAUAACUUCUCUUUCUGUUGUGUUAUGUAGCAUGAUACCACUGAUAAGCUAUGUAGAUUCUGAGAUAUGAUGAAAAUGAUUUAUAUAUCAGAAUGUAUGUUUGUUGGGUUGUGUGACUGACUCUGGUCUUUUUUUUUUUUCCCUCAAAUUGAAAUUAUAUUGAUCAAAUGGGCCUAGUCCACGGCCGAAGCCCAAAUUCACCGGCUUACAACUCACAAAACCCAAAUAUGAGAUGGGCAACAAAAAAGAACGGUCGAAGCCCAAAUAAGAAACAUGGUCCAAGGCCCACAAACGUUACGCCGGGCUUGCUCUGGACGCGCGGAAAGGAGGCAGAGCAGAACACGUGUAAGAAUCUGGUUCAUCCGCCCGCCACGUGUCGCCCGCCUCAACUUAGUCGCCUCAUCCUCGCACAGCCGACCGACGCUUUUCACCGUCACAACUUUUCGCCGGAACUCCGAGCCUACAGAGCCUCCGCGCCAUCGGACUGACUCUGUUCUUGAGAUGAUAAUAAAUGGAAAUUAAAUUAUAUAUUGGGUUCCUCUGGUGACCAUCUGAUUCGGUCCAAACUGUUCAUGCACCGGUACCCAUCAGUAGCAUAGGAGACUAUCAUGAUUUAAGAUAGAAUAGUAACGUGAGGACCGUGACCCACUACUCACUUCGACGUUGACCAUAUGCAAUAAUAAUUUAUGAACUUUUAUGCUUGUAGAGUUUUUAUACGAAAUUAUUGGAAGGUGUACUAAUGCAUUGAAUCGGUUAACAAAAACAAAAUUGUUUGGUCUCAUUACCAUUGCUGGUUAACACAAACUUCUUUUUCAAAUUGUUAAUUUGUAAAGUUCCGUUAUCAGUAAAAAUAUAAUAAAAUUGCUUGUAAAUUAAUUUUUAAAAAUCACAUAGCAAUUCUAUUGAUGGAUAACAAAUACACUGCAUAUAUCCCCCUAUGUAGAAGCAAGUUUUGAGUAGAAUUUUUCAAACAGGUGCUUUACUUUAUAAAAAUUAUUGAAAAAUUAUUGAAAUAUCACGCGUAGACUCUAGAUAUGAGGCACGGUCUUUACAUCUCAUGUCAAGAUGAUGAGUUUUCCUCAACAUAUGCCUUUGAAUUAUUCGUUGUUUCUUUAAGCCGCCUGGUGCCCUGAUGAUGGGUCCAUAAAUGCUUGCUCUAGACUUCUAGACGUCUCCGAUCAAAAGGAAAUGUAAUUAAUGUAACCUAAUUGGUUACAACCUUACAGAUAUAUAUAUAUAUAUAUAUAUAUAUUCAUAAAUAAUAAUAGAGUAAACUAACAUGGCCUGGCUGUUGGCUCGUCCUUAUCAAAGAUCAUGUGCUGAUUAGGAACAAAACAAACUUAGAUCAUGAUAAACAAGGACCACAGGUUCUGUCUAACCUAUCUUUAAUAACAAAUCUAGGGCAAAAACUGCCUUAAAUAUAUAGAGUCGUAAUGCAAUCGCUAAAGUUCCAUAUUGGCUAAUUAAGGCGACCUUUAUAUAAAUAUCUCAAGCUAACGGUCACGGAAACUAUUCUGUCUUGUAAUGGUUAACCAAACACUACCUUCAUUGCUGACGUCAAGAAAAGAAGCCUACUCCGAUUAUUUCACUAUAGAUUGUUUACUUAAGCAUAUGGUUGAAAGACACACGUGUGGAAAGACGCGUACUAGAACACAGUAAGAAGCCCCAUGUUGGUCGGACAUAUCGUGAUAAACAACACUAGGCCUGUUCGGCUGUUCGUUUAUUAAACGCGGCGACCAACUCUGGCUACUGAAAUUUGUUCGUAAUUUUCUUAUGCGCUGGUCGCUGGUGAAGGAAAAUAGAGAACGCGCGUUAGAAUAAUCGACCGAUUCUUUUCUCUCUCUUUCAUGCGGCUGAAAAACAUGGAUGCUCUUCCAUUUUUUUUUCUCGCGUCUGUAAAUUUUCUCGUUUUCCCUUAAAAUUUCAGUCGCAAGUGUUAGACGCGGCGUUUAAUAAACGAACAGGCCUACUGUCUCGACUCUCACGAGUCGCGAUCUUGUUCUAUUCAUGUGACUUUUACCAUAUUUCCAAGGUUGUUUACGUACACGUGCGUGUGUACGUAUCUUAAAACGCAUAUGUAUAUCUGCUAUUCAUGCAUGAGAGUAUAUAUAUACAAAAUAAAAAUGUAAACCAAUAUGUGACUAAAAGACAUAACUAGAGAUAGUAAGUUAUAUAUUUGGCAUAUUGUACACAAAUUUGAAUGGAAAAGAGAGUAUUAUACAUUUAUUUCAGAAAAUGUUAAGUCGUUUAAAUGCAUAUACCGAUGCAUAUGACAUGACAUUGUAUAGUGUAUACAGUAUACGUAUACUUACCUCUUUCGUACUUAAUAUAUAAAUACAUACGCAAGCUGAAAGAAACCCCCAUCCGACUCCUGUAAUAUUCUUCGCUGAUUCCUGAACUCUUCAACACACGUUAAUUUAAAUUCCAUGAUUCUUUAGAUGAUACCGUUUGAUUGAUCACAAAAGCAAGAUCUUAAUAAUUCGGUUAACAAAAGAAAACUCUUAAUAGUUUAUAUAGAAAAUAAAAUACAUUAUAGUACGGAAGGUGUGAGUUCCAUGCUUACUAUAGCAAGAAAACUAAUUAAUAUGAUAUAAUAAUUUAAUUUAAGGCGGUACAGCUUCGGCGACAGACGGAUCACUGACGUUACAACCACCACCUCCUUCACUUUGUCUUGACGGAGCAACGUCAAUUCUAGCGGUGGUAACAGUUGGUGCCCGUUUCCGUUUCUUCUUCUCGUAUGGAAUCCCACGUGCCUUGGCUUGACUUUCCCUGACUUCUCUCAAGUAAAUCCUGACCGCACGUGCGGCGAACGGGUUGGAAUCAGGCCUCCCACCGUGCUCCUCGUACGCAGCUCUCAACCGUCCGAUCAGAGCAUCGAGAGAUCCCCAGGCUUGCUUGAGAGGACAAGCGCAAGGAGAGGGAGGCUGCUGAUGUCCGAAGUAAGGACAGGUCGCCACGUGGACUUUGGUCUUACCGAACUGAUCUAGGUACUUGAGGAACUCGAUCACGUGCGCUCCGCUGCAACGUGAUAACGCGAGAGGCGGCUUGUGGUUCUUGAGGUACUGCAAGAACGUGUUCCAGUCACGUCGUUUCUGCGACUCGUACCUGCUAGGGGGCGUCGCCGGAGGUGAAGAGGGCGUUACGGAAGACGGACCCGGAUCACCUCCAUGUUGUUGUGACCCCGAAUCAGUCGAUUCCAUCAAAACUAGGGUUUUUUUUUUGUUUUUCUUUGAGAGAGUUUUUAUUUAGCCUUGGUUUUUUAGAAUAUAAGCGAAUCGAGAAUUUAGUGUUUUAAAAGAAAGAGAGACAAAUGAGAGAAAGUUCUUUAUAUGUAAUCUGAUUAAUUUUUAAACUAUUAUUUGAAGAAUAGGAAAUAACCUUCAUUUCAUAUAUAUAUAUAUAUAUAUAUAUUCAUAAAUAAUAAUAGAGUAAACUAACAUGGCCUGGCUGUUGGCUCGUCCUUAUCAAAGAUCAUGUGCUGAUUAGGAACAAAACAAACUUAGAUCAUGAUAAACAAGGACCACAGGUUCUGUCUAACCUAUCUUUAAUAACAAAUCUAGGGCAAAAACUGCCUUAAAUAUAUAGAGUCGUAAUGCAAUCGCUAAAGUUCCAUAUUGGCUAAUUAAGGCGACCUUUAUAUAAAUAUCUCAAGCUAACGGUCACGGAAACUAUUCUGUCUUGUAAUGGUUAACCAAACACUACCUUCAUUGCUGACGUCAAGAAAAGAAGCCUACUCCGAUUAUUUCACUAUAGAUUGUUUACUUAAGCAUAUGGUUGAAAGACACACGUGUGGAAAGACGCGUACUAGAACACAGUAAGAAGCCCCAUGUUGGUCGGACAUAUCGUGAUAAACAACACUAGGCCUGUUCGGCUGUUCGUUUAUUAAACGCGGCGACCAACUCUGGCUACUGAAAUUUGUUCGUAAUUUUCUUAUGCGCUGGUCGCUGGUGAAGGAAAAUAGAGAACGCGCGUUAGAAUAAUCGACCGAUUCUUUUCUCUCUCUUUCAUGCGGCUGAAAAACAUGGAUGCUCUUCCAUUUUUUUUUCUCGCGUCUGUAAAUUUUCUCGUUUUCCCUUAAAAUUUCAGUCGCAAGUGUUAGACGCGGCGUUUAAUAAACGAACAGGCCUACUGUCUCGACUCUCACGAGUCGCGAUCUUGUUCUAUUCAUGUGACUUUUACCAUAUUUCCAAGGUUGUUUACGUACACGUGCGUGUGUACGUAUCUUAAAACGCAUAUGUAUAUCUGCUAUUCAUGCAUGAGAGUAUAUAUAUACAAAAUAAAAAUGUAAACCAAUAUGUGACUAAAAGACAUAACUAGAGAUAGUAAGUUAUAUAUUUGGCAUAUUGUACACAAAUUUGAAUGGAAAAGAGAGUAUUAUACAUUUAUUUCAGAAAAUGUUAAGUCGUUUAAAUGCAUAUACCGAUGCAUAUGACAUGACAUUGUAUAGUGUAUACAGUAUACGUAUACUUACCUCUUUCGUACUUAAUAUAUAAAUACAUACGCAAGCUGAAAGAAACCCCCAUCCGACUCCUGUAAUAUUCUUCGCUGAUUCCUGAACUCUUCAACACACGUUAAUUUAAAUUCCAUGAUUCUUUAGAUGAUACCGUUUGAUUGAUCACAAAAGCAAGAUCUUAAUAAUUCGGUUAACAAAAGAAAACUCUUAAUAGUUUAUAUAGAAAAUAAAAUACAUUAUAGUACGGAAGGUGUGAGUUCCAUGCUUACUAUAGCAAGAAAACUAAUUAAUAUGAUAUAAUAAUUUAAUUUAAGGCGGUACAGCUUCGGCGACAGACGGAUCACUGACGUUACAACCACCACCUCCUUCACUUUGUCUUGACGGAGCAACGUCAAUUCUAGCGGUGGUAACAGUUGGUGCCCGUUUCCGUUUCUUCUUCUCGUAUGGAAUCCCACGUGCCUUGGCUUGACUUUCCCUGACUUCUCUCAAGUAAAUCCUGACCGCACGUGCGGCGAACGGGUUGGAAUCAGGCCUCCCACCGUGCUCCUCGUACGCAGCUCUCAACCGUCCGAUCAGAGCAUCGAGAGAUCCCCAGGCUUGCUUGAGAGGACAAGCGCAAGGAGAGGGAGGCUGCUGAUGUCCGAAGUAAGGACAGGUCGCCACGUGGACUUUGGUCUUACCGAACUGAUCUAGGUACUUGAGGAACUCGAUCACGUGCGCUCCGCUGCAACGUGAUAACGCGAGAGGCGGCUUGUGGUUCUUGAGGUACUGCAAGAACGUGUUCCAGUCACGUCGUUUCUGCGACUCGUACCUGCUAGGGGGCGUCGCCGGAGGUGAAGAGGGCGUUACGGAAG